rnacentral:lncRNA from 1 species
AUUUCAUUAUGAUAGCAAACCCCAUAUCAGUUAUACAAUGAAGUUCUCAACUUUUACUCAAAGUAUCAAAUCUUUUGCAUCACAUAAACUUACCAUUUCACAAAUUACAUGCAACAGAGUCUUAAAUUAUAACCAACACACACAUUUAUUCUAAAGCUUAACCGGAUAUUGAACCGAUUUUUUCACAUAGUUGGGUAAGAAGCAUUCAUGGCAAGACCACAUUGUCCGUGUUUAGGCUUGAUAUCUUUUUUGAUCCUCAUGUAUCCACGUUCUCCCCAUUUUGGUCCCCAUGAAUUCUUGAGGAUCCAGUACUUUAAUCCGUUUUUAGAUCGGCCGUAUCCAACCGCAGUUACCCCGUGAUCAAGAUGAGUUGUGCAUUCUCCGCUGAACACACCGGACGAAUAGAAUUGGAAACCAAUAUCUCCUCCCGCUAUUCCAAUGCUAACCGGGUGGUGUGCCACUGCCUUCAUUAGGGCUUUCUCAUCGUUAGCCGGGACAUCCUCAAAACCUAUGAUAUGUGUAGAAGAGAUAUAAUUUCAAAGCAUGAGAACUAGUAUCUUCUCAUUUCAAAAACCAAACCAUGAGCACUAGUAUUUAGACAUUUGCGUAUUUCGAUUGGUUUGUUUAGUUAUGUUUCGUCAAUUUUAUUAUUUUAUUAUUUUGAUUUUUGUAAUUAGUUUUUUGUUUAUUCGGUUAACUUUUCGGAUUAUUAUAUGAAUCUUUUUCUACGACUUUUAUGAGGGAAUUAUUAAAGGGAAACCUUUGAUAGAAGUUUCUAUCUGUUUAGUUUUAUUGAAGUUGCAAGUGCCGUUUGUGCUUUUAUAAGGAUAAUUUGAUUCAGAGGUUAAGCCGCCAAUAGUUAUUGUGUAGUUAAACGCUGUAUCCAUCAAACCGCCCAUGCAGCCACCAUCGUUUGUGUCGCAGUCGACAAGCUCUUGUUCAGACAAAGAAAUGAGUUUCCCUUUCUUUAUCUGUGCUACUCCUUCUAUAGCCGCAACAGCUGAAAACGCCCAACAAGAUCCUACGCAAAACAUUCACUCGUUAGUUUCACUAUCCAAGCAACUAACUCUUUGGGUUUGAGCAUCCAUAACCGGAAUUCUACAGUUCCUUUUAAAAUUAUCGGUUCAAACCAGUCUCGGUUUUGGAGCAGAAACUACUAAAAUAUUCAAAAAAAAUUUCCAUCAGAACUUAAUAUAAAUAUUUCAUUUUGUAUACAGUAUAACUAAACAGAUACUUGUAAUUAAUUUGGAUUGGUUUAGUUACACUAGACUUCGGUCUUUGUUCGGGUUAUAUUCUGUAUAUAUUAACUAUUAAGAGAUAAAAUCGUUCGGGAUAAGGAAACCAAAUUGUUCGAUUAUCCCGGUUCAAAAUUUAGCUUGGUUUAGUUUAUACAUAUACAAACGAAUAAAGCUUUGGCAUUAUAUUACCGCAUAAGCCUUGAUCCUUGAUAGGAGUCACAGCUCCUUUCUUCCUCCAAUCAACAGAAACCGGCAACGCAUCAGAAGAAACGUUUUGGUACCUAAACGACGUUGGUUUAGUUCGACUAGACAACACAGAGUUUCCUUUGAAACCAGUGUACAUAGAACGGAAUUCUUCGUUGGUUAGAUCAGCAAACUGGUUCACCGCGAGUUUAAACGUUAGUCCGGAUUGAACGUCAUUUAAGCGUUCAAUGCGUUCCACGUUGCGUUUGAAAACAGCGUAGCGGUUGUUUUUCUCGUUCGCAUCUGCGUAAACACGGCCGUGUUCGGUCAUCCACUCGGCAUGUCUCUUUUGCAUGGCGACUUCAUCGAGUAAUGGACGAGAAAGAGUGAUCGAUAAACUGAAUGAUGAAACUAGAGAGACAAUGAGAAAGAUUUGGAUCUGUGUUAAAGCCAUUUGGUUUAGAAAAGUUGAAGGAUAUUGAUACUAAUUUGAUUACUCCAAAAGGUUUUGGAAGUGGGGUUUUAUAGUGAAAAGGUUUGAUGUUAUUGGUAAUAUACCCAUGAAGUGAUUAGGACAAAGUAUUUUAAGUUUACACGUAAUGAUCAUCUUAUACAUCCAUGAUCCAUAUAUACAUAACCAGAUCGAUCAUGCAUGGCUUGUUAAGUUUAUUUAUGGUUGUUAAGUAUUUUUUCUACAUCAAAGAUCAAACUGAGAUACACUCAUCCUCUUCACUUUCAGUUUGGCUGCAUUUUUCGUUACAGCUGCGGUUUAAGUUUGUAAACAAAUACAUUUAAUAAUUAGAAAGUUGAACUUAUUAGACUUUAAUCUCUCUAGGCUUAUGAUAUUCGAACUUUGAAAUCGAAACUGGUUUUUGUUUUGGACAAAUAUAUUUAUUUAUUUGAAACUGAAAUUCAAAAUUAAGAAUGACAUGUGGAACAAAAAAACUGCAAAUAUAAUCUGAAAACAUAUUUGUUUGAAACUAACCAAUUUCAGCUACUCAAUGUAUGCAUGAAAAAACGUAAUUCAUUUGGUUUUCACAUGUUAAAUAUACUUCUGAUGCAUCAAAAUUAUUAAUCUCAUCAAAACAUGGAAUCUUCUUUUGUCUUUUAAUUAAUUAAUUAAUUAAAUUUAAAUUCAAGAAUUAGAUUUCCUUUAUUCAUAAGAGAACCAUCCGUGCAAGUUAAAAGCUUAAAACAAAGGGAAAAAAGAUUCGACAAAUUAAUUUCGAAUCAUAGUCACUCACAACAAAAGUGAACUUCAUUGCACUAAGUAGUACGUAUCUGUAGAUAAAUCUAAACCAUUUGCCCAAAAGUUUCCUGUUCGAUGAUGUUCCCACCAAUUUCAUCUAUUCGAAUUUCUAUGAACUUUUCCAUUUUGUCUAUAAAAUACAAUAUAAGUGGUAAUAAGUUUUAGUUAGGGACAAUAGAAGUAAAAUUAUAAAUCGGGCGCUAACAAAGAUGUUUACGGAAUGUCAUUUUUGGACAUAAAUCCAUAUUAUAAUUGGCCGAAGUGAGAACGAUGUCUAAACGACUAAAUAAAAAAAGAUACAUAUGUGGAACUAUCAUUAAUAAUAAAAAGAUACAUCAUACAUAUGUACAUAAAUUAAAAAAAAUGUUUUACUGAGUAAUAUAAUUAUUAUCAGACAAAAUUUAACUAUCAUCAAAACUUAUUCGUAAUUUGUACAUACAAGAAAUGAUUUAAAUUGUUGUUUCUAAAAUGAAAUCAACUAAACUUAACUGUUUCGAUGUCAUGAAAUGUAUCAAACUUUGUCCUAACUUUCAACAGGAAAAUUUGAACUACAUGCCAGCAUAAAAAAAUGUUCUAUAAAUCAACAUAAUUUACUUGCUAAGGAGGAUUAGAAGUCAAAUUGUAACGGCAAUAAGAAUAGUGAUAAGUGAACAUUCCAAAAUUAAAGCUUUGGGCUGAACACCUUCCACUUAAUCAUUUUGGAGAUAUGUUAAGAGCACCUCUAAUGGGGAAGGUUAUACCCGUUAGAGUUCUAAACAUACAUACAAAUAUAUUUAUAAUAAUAUUUAACUAUGGAAUUCUUAAUUUUAUGGAAAACUCAAUCUAAAUUUUUAAAAUCAUUUGGGUUGGGUUUUUUAUAAAAUUAAAGGCCCAAAAUUAAAUAUUAAUAUAUGUUAUAUAUUAAAAUUUCAAUGGAUAGAACCUCACUGUAGAUGCGUAUCCAAUAGCAAGAUGUGUAUUUUAAAGCCCAUGAAAUUUAUGAAGCUUAAACCAAAUAAUACUAUAUAAAAUCUAAAAUUUAUUAUGAUAAAGAUUAGAUGAUUUAGAUAUAUGUUAUAAAAUUUAAAUAAAUUUUAUUUUUAAUUGAGAUAGGUCUAUAUCUUGUGUCUAUAUAUAAUUCUCAUGUAAGUUAUUAAAACACAACACAAAAAUAUAUUUAUAUUCUCCAAUUUUACAAAUCACUAAUUUGGACUGUUAGCACUAGGUCAUGUAGAAAAAGGCAUCUAGAUUUCAUGUGGCGUAGGGAUGUUCCAAAGAAGGAAAAAUAAGCCAGGAGAGACACCUUGUUAGAGUGCGAUCAUACCUAAACAUAUUUGGAAGAGAAUUGUAUAUAUCAGGAAGAGUGACAUCCUCCUAAAUAUUUGCUUUGCGUCCUUAAUACUUAGGUUCACCCCUAUAGUGAAUGGUUAAAUUCACUCCAUUCUUUUUUUCUCAUAACUUAAAUAGAUUCUAUGAAGACUAUGCAAACUAAACUGAUAACUAUGCAUUUAUAUGAACAAAAACUGACAUUUGUUUCCUCGCAUUCUGCGCCAAACUGUCUGCCUUUGUAUUCACUUCAUUCUUUAUAACCAACCAAAGUAUCAUAUAGAUUAAUUAAAAAAGACAAUAACUUUUUUUUUAAAUGAUAUAGCUGAAAAAAAUGACACCGAUAUUAACGCCGUCUACAAAACUAUAAAUUCUAAAAACCUAAAAUCUAAAACAAUAAACCCUAAAUCCUAAACUCUAAACUAAAAACUCUAAACCAUAAACAUUAAUCCUCAAAUCUUAAAUCCUAAACAUAAAACUUUAAAAAAUAAACCCUAAAUCUUGAAAUCUAAACCUAAAACUCUAAACCAUAAACCCUAAAUCCUAAAAUCUAAAUUCUAAAUUCUAAAUCCUAAGAACUGGAGUGACAUUACAAAGAGUGGAGUGACAUUACAGCCAUAAAAAGAGUAUAAUAUCAACUUACCAAUGCACUUUAGUUGGUUAUAAACAUAAAUGAUACCAAAAGAGUAUAAUAUCAAGUAUGUGUAUUUAAGUUUUAAUGGUUUUAGAGCCAAAUUCCUGAAUAAAAAUUUGGUGUUAUUCACUUGGUUCGAAAAAUCAGGUUUAUUCAAGUUGAAUGAGCCAAAUGUUGUUUAAAUUUAUUGAAUCAAUAAUUAGGUUUUGUUAGAAUUUGAAUUGUUAUCUUUAAGAAUACGUUUUUCAUUCAAUCGUCAAAUUAAAAUCUCAUGUUGAAAAUUUUCUUUUCUCAUGGUACUGGAUUUAUAUGAGUAAUAUAAACAAAAUAAUUCAACAUCAACUGUUCAGUAAAAGAAUUCAAGGAUCCUAAAACGAACCUUAUUUCCAAUAAAUUAAAUUAAACGAUCUUAGAAAUAUUUUGUAUGCUACUCUAUUAUAUAUUAAUAAAGGAGAAAAAGAGAGAAAAAGGUGGUAAAAAAAUAGAAACCUCUGCUAUAAUUAAGCUUUAAUAAACUUAACAUUCUUAUAUUCAAAACCCUAUUGAAACUAAUUUUAAAUUAACAAACAAACGACUUACAUUUAGUUCUAGUCUAAAAAUAACAAUCGGGUUUCUAAUAUAAAACAAACUCGGUGCUCCACGAGAAAAGUUGUCCUCUUCUCAAACAUAACUCAACUUACCGUUUGAAACUAAACUAUUAUAAAGAGAAAUCAAAAAGAAGAAGAGACCACCAAACAAAAAACAAAACAAAGAAAAAAAUAUUUUAACAAAAAUGGCUGCCAAAGCAAUCGUCUUCUCUCUCUUUAUCGUCUCCACCGUGUGUUUGUCCUCUCUCGCCGGUUUUGCUGCCGCAGAUGCUGAUGAUUUUGACAUUUUCCAGAUUCAGGGAUCAGUUUACUGUGACACUUGCCGUGUCCAGUUUGUUACCCGUCUCAGCCAAUUCCUCGAAGGUAAAUUAAACAAUUUAUCAUGCAUGAAUGUAUGAAUAUAUUUGAGCCUGUAAUAAAAAAAUAGCACAUCAAACAUAACAUACGUUUCAUACAAAUUAACAUUGAAAUAGUUUGGGACGAGUAUGUGUUUGCGCACUCUAUCUUGCAUGUUAUAAUUAAGAAUGCAUGCAACGUCUUACAAUAAUAUAUCGGUUUCUGAAUCCGAAUGACUUGAUGCAGUUUGCAAAUAUUUUCUAAAUCAAUCUCAUAUUAUGUUCAAACAUUUAAGUAGUAUUUAAUUUGGUUUAUCAUUUUUUUGGUGUUUGUGAAGGGGCGAAAGUGAAGUUGGAGUGCAGAAGCAGAACAAACGGAACCCUAACGUUGACCAAAGAAGCCGUUACCGACAAAUCAGGAAGCUACAAGAUUGAAGUAACCGGUGACCACGAAGAAGAAGUUUGCGAGCUCGUGUUGGUCCAAUCACCGGACAUUGGUUGCAGUGAUGUCAGCAAAGAGGCUUAUUUACGUAACGCCGCUAAGAUCAGUUUAACGGCGAAUGACGGAAUCGUCUCUCACGAGACACGUAUCGUUAACCCUCUCGGUUUCAUGGUUAAGACCCCGUUAGCUGAUUGUCCCGCUGCUUUCAAGGAACUCGGUAUUGUCCCUGACGUCAUUUUCUAAGCGAAUAAACAAAAUAUAUGACGUGAGAGAUUUUUAUUUUGUAUUUGCUUCAUCUUCAAGGGGUUUUCGCCAAGUUUAACGAUAAUUUAUUAUUAUGAAUUAAUAUCCUCCUGAUUUGUUGAUGUUAAUUUCUCGUUUUUGUGUUUAAUUUGAAUGGUACCUUGUUGUUCUAUUGAAAAAAAGGAUGUGGCUAUUUUUGGGCAUACAAUGCUGAAGACACUAUCUAUUAUUAAUCAUUAAAACGAUACGGAACCAAAACCUCCGCCGCACACAAAUCACAAAGUCAAUCUAUUUAUAAAUGAUAAACGAUUUUAUAUACGGUUUCACGAUGGAUAGAUAGAUCUCUCUUUCCACAAUAUAAAGAAAACAGUUCUACAUGUAUUACACCUACAGUUACCAAUUUGUAGCUAUUAGCUGUAUAAUACAUCAUGUCGAGAGAGAAAAAGAAGAGUCUCCACGUUCUUGUCUGAUCAAAUCAAGACUCUACAACUUUUUGUCUAACUACUAUCCAAGUUCUAUUGUUCUAUUAUUAAUUUAUAGAUUAUGGUUCCUGAUUAUAGAUACAAAAAAACGUCAAAAGAAAAAAGAAACUGAAAAAUUUAUAGUCUCAAAGAAGUGUUUUUCAUAAGUUUUUAAUUAAAAAACCAAAAGAUGUUACUUCCACUCAAAACAAUAAAUAUGAAAAUAUAGAAGAUACAUAUGAAUAAAAAUGAUGAUAGUGUUAAUGUUUGUAUUCCUAGAGAUGAUAAUGGUUGUGAUGAUGUUUAUGAGAAUGAUCUUAAAAAUGCUGAUUGUUUGAAUGCAGAUGAUGAUGAUUUAGAAAAAGUAAAUGAUUAUAAGUUUGAUAUUUUUGAUCCAAGAAAUUGGAAUGUUCUUGAUUCUAAGAUGAUUGAUAUUUUAGUAGAAAACCUUAAAGAGAUAUGUCUAUUAAAAUGGUCCAAAAGAUAAAUUCAAUAGAUGCUUUUCUGCAAAGUGGUAUAAUAGAAUUUUGUUGAAUGGAGAAAAAUGCAAAAGAGAUUGGUUAGUCUACUGUAAGGAAAUUGAUAAAUUAUUUUGUUUUUGCUGUAAGAUAUUUAAAAAAUUUGUUGGAAAAUGUCAGUUCAAAUGAAGGUUGUAAAGAUUGGGCACAUCUUAGUUCUAGGCUUAAAAGAGCAUGAAACAAGUGUUGCACAUGUUAAGAAUAUGACAAUUUGGUAUGAUCUGCGUUUAAGCUUUUUCUCAAACUAUUGAUAAAGUGGCUCAAACACUAAUUUUAAAAGGAAAAGAUCAUUGGAAAAAAGUUUUGUUUAGACUUAUUUCUGUUGUAAAAUUUCUUGCAAAGCAUAAUCUUGCAUUUCAUGGUACUAAUGCUAAACUGUAUGAAAAUAACAAUGGAAAUUUUUUAGGACUUAUUUGAAUGUUAGUUGAAUUUGAUCCAGUUAUCAAAGAGCAUGUGGAAAGAAUUACAAAUGAUAGAUAUUCAUUUUCAUUAUCUUGGUCAUAAUACUCCAAAUGAAUUGAUAAUUUUGAUUGCUUCUGCAAUUAAAUCCAAAAUUUUAAGUAAAAUAAAACAAGCAAAAUAUUUUUCUUGAUACUUGAUUGUACUCCUGAUAAUGGCCACCAAGAACAAAUAUCUAUGAUAUUGAGGUAUGUAGACUAUUCUUCAGUACAUCGUUCAAUGUGUAUAUUUUUCCUAAAUGGAACUUUUUAUAAAAAGCUUACCAUGAUAACGAAUAAUAAAUAACUGCAGUAAACGUUCCAAUAUGCAUAAUGAAUAUUGUAAUAAUAUUAUUCUAGUACCUGUGUUUUUUAGAAAUCAUGUGAUAUAUAAUAUUUUUUUACAAUUUAAACGCUUAUAGUGGAAUAGAGGACGCCCAACAUAGUGCUUUGUGUGCAUGUCAAGUCAGCUAAGAUUUUGAUUGGUAAAGCAUUAGCAUUAUGUUCUACAUUAUCCAAUCAACAAUUGUUAAAAAACAUUUAGAAAAUUAUUUACUAAAUGCUAAUGGUUUCCAAAUGCUCUCUAGCCAAUGCUCUCAUGAAGCUUUUAGAAGAGCAUUUGCAUUUAUAAUUUAUAAAAUUAAGAAAAAUAUAUAAUUAAUUCAUUUAUUCAAUUUAAUAAUAUCAUAAAAUUAUUUUCACAUCCAGAAAAUAAAUUUUGAUUCCUAAAAUUAAUUUAAAAUAAAAAUAUUUUUUUAAAAAAUAGUAUUUCACAUUUAAAAUAUAAUUUAAUUUAAUUUAUGUAAUUUAAUUUAUUUUAAAUGUAAAAAANNNNNNNNNNNNNNNNNNNNNNNNNNNNNNNNNNNNNNNNNNNNNNNNNNNNNNNNNNNNNNNNNNNNNNNNNNNNNNNNNNNNNNNNNNNNNNNNNNNNUUCUUUUUUGAUCUUUUUGCUUUAUUUUAGUCUUCACUAAAUUAAUAUGAAGAUUAUAAAUUUGAUGGAUAAUAAUUAAUGGAAAAUUUUCAAUUGAAAAAACAUGACUUUAAUGAACACUAAAUAUGGAAGAGUGGAAAAACUUUUCUUUCAUAUUUCUGUUUUAUUUCAAAUUUUUAUUUUCAAAAUUUCAAGCUUUGAUUUUAGUUAUAGAUUUGAUUAUUUUAUUUGAUGGUAGAAGCAUUUUUACUUUUUUGUUCAUUUAUUUGAACAUGUAAUAUAUUUUUAAUAAAUGAAUGUGUUGACAAUAUAACUCUAAAAUUCAUAUAAUAUGAUCUCAAACUAAAUAAUUAUGUUUUUUUGUAUAAAACCGAAUAAACCGAAAACUGACGGUAUAUAAACCGAACCGAAGUAAAUAUGAAUUUAGAAUGGUAGUUAUAUUUUACUAACCGAAAUAUCGAAAACCGAAAAAACCGAACCUUAACCGAAAUAUCGAAAACCGAAAAAACCGAACCUAAACCGAACCGAUAUCCGGAUUGAACACCCUUGUGACAACCAAAUAUUUUAACCGUAUUAUUCCUUACUUUGUCAUUUUGACCUUUAUUUUAUUAUAUUUUUCUUCUCCUAUAUACACGCAACCAUAAUCAUAAUCAGACAUUCUUGUGAACGAGUUUAUUUUUUCUUUCUUGAAAUCAAAUGGACAAGUCUGAAGAAAUCGCUUACGCUUCUGUUCUGUCUAUUCUCUCACUCUUUCUUCUUAUCCUCCUCAUCUUCCUCCUCUUACUAUGCAGAAAGAAACCAAUCCGGUCCGACGAAUCUCUCCUUCCAAAAACCAAACCGGCGGGAACCACUUACCCUUUAACCGAAUUAGAUUCAGCAACCGACGGAUUUAGCCAGCGUCGAAUCAUCGGUAGCGGUCGGUUAGGAACGGUUUACGCAGCGGUUAUCCCGUCCCACAAAAACCUCGUCGCGGUCAAAAGAAUACACCCCGGUUUGGUUUUAAGCAAACCGGGUUCCGGUUUCACCACGGUUCUCAAAACGCUCUCUUCCGCUCUCCACCCCAACGUGGUCUCGAUCUUAGGCUUCUCGGAAGCUCCCGGCGAGAGGAUCCUCGUCACAGAAUUCGUCGGAGAAGCGAAAAGCUUGAGCGAUCACUUACACGGAGACUCCGAUAUCGAAUCGGCGGUUGCUAAUACCGUUUUCGACUGGCGUAAACGUUUCAGAGCCGCGGCGGGAGCGGCGAGAGGCUUGGAGUAUCUGCACGAGAUCGUAAACCCUAGAAUCAUCCACGGGCGCUUCACGUCUUCGAAUGUUCUCUUGGAUGACAAGUUCAUGGCGAAGGUCUCAGAUUACGGAUUCGCGUUCUUGAUUCCGCGCGAGAACUCUGAGGUUUCUUGGUACGUUGAGGAAGGGUACUGCAGAGAGAGCGAUGUGUACGGAUUCGGCGUCGUUUUGCUCGAGAUUCUGAGUGGGAGAAGAAGCGAGAACGGGUCGAUCGUGAAGUGGGCGACGCCGUUGAUCAAAGAGAAGAGGUUCGCUGAGCUUUUGGAUCCGAGGAUUGUUGUUGAAACAAUCAUUUUUCAAUUUUAUAUAGUACAUAAUUAAAUUUAAAUGAUAUUAACAUAUAUAUAUAUAAUAUAUUUUUAAUAUAUCUGUUAAAUGAUGCUUUCUAGUCAUAUUGGUUUUUGAUAUUUUGUAUUUUUUAUAAGGAAAACUUCAAAACACUAAUAACUAAAUUGUCAUUAUGGGAUGUUUAAUAGUCUUAGUAGUUUAUAACUUUUAAAAAAAAUUCAGUGCAAAGUUUUAAAACUUAAUAUUAAUUUGUCAAUAUUUGUUCAAAACUUUUAUCCAAAAAAUAAUUUGUUCAAGAAAAUUUUGAAACUAAAAUAUUUAUGUAUUUUUAUAUGGUAUAUAGUUUAAUUUAAACGAUAAUUACUUCCUACUUACACGAUUUUCACCUUAAUAUUUAUUAAAUGAGACUUCCUACUUAUAUGAUUUUGUAAAUCAUUUACAUCUUGUAAUAGCAAAAUUCUAAAAAAAAAAAACAGUGUGAGACUUUUAACAAUUUAAGUAAUUUAUAGUCAUUUUUAAAAAUUCAAAAUAUAACAUAUAUGGAAAAAUCUAAAUUUUAUUAUGUAGAUGUUUAAUUUAUUUUAAUAAUUUAAAAUUAUACAAAAAUGAUAGAGGAGACACUAAUUUUUAUCAAAUAUUUAUUAUUCCAAAUUAUUACUUUCUUAUGCAUUGAUAUAUUUUUUUCAUAAUUAGUGUUAUAUAUUUUAGAUUUUUUGCCAUAUAGCUAAUUGUCUUCAAAAUACUUGGACCAAAUCGUGUAAUAUGGCUAUUUCUGUACAAAUAUCCGAACUUGUUUAAGAUACAAUGAUUAUUUGAAUAUUUUUAAAUUCAUAUACAUCAGAACAAACUCAUCCAGACCUGAGAUAACCCACCUCGAAACCAACCCAACAAAAUUUAAUACCCGAGCGGGACCUAAUUUUAACAAAAAAAAACAGUACCCGAAAUAAACGAUAUGUACCUCAACGGAUACCCGAAUGUAAAUGUCUAACUAAUUCUAUAAACAAAUUUUAAAAAAAAACUCUUUGUUGACUGUUUUAAAUUCCUGUUACAAGCAAAUUUAUUUAAACCAGUCAAAUUAUUAUGGUCAACAUGUAAAAUAAAUGAUGUUAAAUUAUUCUGGUAAAAAUAAUUAAAGAAUUAGUUAUGAAGAACAAAAAAAGAAAGUAAAAAUGUAAUUAAACACUUUAAAAUAGGUAAUUUCUGUUUCGAACUUCUGUAAUAAAUAUUGUCAAAAUAUUUGGAAAAGAAUAAAUGAAAUGGUUAGAAUGUGUUAGAAAAGGAAAUAAAAAUUGUAAGAAAACACCUAAAUUUAGGAAAGUAUUUUUUGUACUUCAGUGGUAUAGUGCUAAUAAAAUAUAGUUAAGAGUAUUUUUGUAUAACUUUCCCAAGUAUUUGUUGUUAACGUUGGUUCUCAUAUGGUUUUCCCUAGCAACACUGUUUCUCAUUCUAUUACUAAUUUAAUUGGAUCGUGAAUCCUCUUGUGACCUAAUUAUUAUUUUAAAUAAAAAUGAAUUAGAAAAAGCUCUUUGAUUGUAACUAAAUAUUUUACCAUUUCUGAUAUACAAAUAAGCUAUUUCUGUAAUAUAUUUUUGUAACUGUAAUAUUUUGUCAAGUUAUAAUAUAUUUUUUUCAGAAUUUUUUAACGUUCUCAUACAUAUAUGAUCUACAAAAUUUUAAUCCUAUACAGGUUUAAUUUAUGCAUAAUAUUUUAGUUUUAUGACAAGUAAUGCACCUUCAUAAUGUAAAAAUAAUAACAAAAAGUAGCAUCUUUUUUAAUUUAACAAAUAUGAAAUCUUACUAGGCAACAAAAUACCUAAACAAAUAGUAGUUCUUCCUGCUGUAAGAAAACAAAUAUUUCCUUCAUAUAAUGAAAAGUAAAUAUUUUAUGAAUAAUAUAUUCAUUUUAUGAAAAGUUAAUGCAUCUUCAUAAUUUUCUAAUGUAAAGAAAAUAACAAAAUAGCAUUUGUAUAAUUUGACGAAUUUAGUAAUCUUACUAUGUACAUAAAUACCAAAACAAAUACUCCUUCUGUUUCAUUUUAAUUCUCAUUUUAGACUUAUGCAUACAAAUUAAGAAAAUAUUUAAUUUGUAUAUUUACUAAAUAAAAACAUCAUCACCAAUACAUAUAACCACAGUUUAACCAAUAAACAAAUAGAUUUGAAUAUAAAGUCAAUAAAUUUUGUAUUAAAAUUAUAAAACGACACUUAUUUUAAAACAAAAUUUUAAUUCUACAAUGACAAAAAUAUUUCACUCAUAUAUUAGCAAAAUGAAAAGUAUCUAUUUUGGUUUCCCUAAAAUAAAAAGUCCACAACCCAAUAUUUAUUGACCAUUCAGACGUAGUAUUCCUUACUUUGUCAUUUUGACCUUUAUUUUAUUACAUUUUUCUUCACCUAUAUACACGCAAACCCCAUAAUCAUAAUCAGACAUCCUUGAAUAAGUUUUUUUUUCUUUCCUGAAAUCAAAUGGACAAGUCUGAAGAAAUCGCUUACGCUUCUGUUCUGUCUAUUCUCUCACUCUUUCUUCUAAUCCUCCUCAUCUUCCUCCUCUUACUAUGCAGAAAGAAACCAAUCCGGUCCGACGAAUCUCUCCUUCCAAAAACCAAACCGGCGGGAACCACUUACCCUUUAACCGAAUUAGAUUCAGCAACCGACGGAUUUAGCCAGCGUCGAAUCAUCGGUAGCGGUCGGUUAGGAACGGUUUACGCAGCGGUUAUCCCGUCCCACAAAAACCUCGUCGCGGUCAAAAGAAUACACCCCGGUUUGGUUUUAAGCAAACCGGGUUCCGGUUUCACCACGGUUCUCAAAACGCUCUCCUCCGCUCUCCACCCCAACGUCGUCUCGAUCCUAGGCUUCUCGGAAGCUCCCGGGGAGAGGAUCGUCGUCACAGAAUUCGUCGGAGAAGCGAAAAGCCUGAGCGAUCACUUACACUCCGACUCCGACUCCGAUCUCGAAUCGGCGGUUGCUACAACCGUUUUCGACUGGCGUAAACGUUUCAGAGCCGCGGCGGGAGCGGCGAGAGGCUUGGAGUAUCUGCACGAGAUCGUAAACCCUAGAAUCAUCCACGGGCGCUUCACGUCUUCGAAUGUUCUCUUGGAUGACAAGUUCAUGGCGAAGGUCUCAGAUUACGGAUUCGCGUUUUUGAUUCCGCGCGAGAACUCUGAGGUUUCUUGGUACGUUGAGGAAGGGUACUGCAGAGAGAGCGAUGUGUACGGAUUCGGCGUCGUUUUGCUCGAGAUUCUGAGUGGGAGAAGAAGCGAGAACGGGUCGAUCGUGAAGUGGGCGACGCCGUUGAUCAAAGAGAAGAGGUUCGCUGAGCUUUUGGAUCCGAGGAUUGUUGUUGAGAGUGAGAUCAAGUGUUUGGUGAUAAGAUUAGCGAAGGUUGCUUUGGCUUGCGUCGGGAACUCGCGGAGGAGUCGGCCGUCGGUUUCGCAGGUGGCGGCGAUUUUGAACAGUUUGGAGAGGGAAGGAGGGGGGAUUUGAACAAUUCGAGAAGUUUUGGGGUUUUACGGUGAAUAUUGAGAAUAUAUUAGGGGUAAGUUAGUUAUUAAUGAAACAGUUCUGUUAAUGCUACUUAGGCCGUGUACAUUAAUUUUUUACUUUUGGGGGGUAUAUAAUCGGUUUCGUAUGAUUUAAUUAAUGCUUUUAUUCACAUCAAUCUAUAAAAUUGGGAAUAUUAUAAUCGAAUAUUAUUGAUAUGUUAAAAAUAAUUUUGGUAUGCUCUGUCGGAAACAAUUAUAGAUUACGAGGAUUUAUAAUUAAAAUAUGGUAAGUGUGUACGAAAGAUUGUUUAAAAUUUACUCGGGCCCUUCAUAAUUUGACGAGACUUGGAAGGUAGGUUAUCGUCAAAAUUAGACGGUGGACCUAAUCUUUGCACCUUGUGCUUUGUGGAACAAGUCAGUUUUGUCUUUUGCUAGUAAAAAAGUUUGGUAGGUUUUUAUUUAAUUUUUGUUCGGUUUAAUUUAGUGUUGCUUCAUUUAAGUUGGCAGCUGAGUUAAUUCAGAGUUUAAGUGGUUGAUUAAAUGUAACAAUUGUUAUGAAUUAUCAAUAGUUAUUUAUUUGUUUUGUAACAUUCACAGCAUUAUAUUUUGUAAACUGGAAUUUUUGAAAAUUGACGUACACGGCGGUUGCUGUAGACCAGUUAGACUUUUUUUUUUUAACUGAAUAAUUUGUUUAAAGUUCAACAGUUAUGAAAGUAUGUUUUUUCUAGAAACAGAAAGAAAUGACAUAAGAAAACCCUUCAAAGCUAAGAAAAUUAUUAAUUUAACACUUUAAAAAUGCACACACGCCUUUCUAAGACUGAAUAAAAACAUAGAUUGAUACUUUACCCUGGAUGUACAUUACUGCAAAGAACGUUCUACUUCUUCUAACAACAUGUACGUAACAUAAUUCAACAAUAAUCUAUCACCGAUGACUUAACUAAGAGAUUAUCAUAUUACGCUAGUACACAUAUCAUACUAUCAUAGCCUAAUUAACUGUAGUUAUUCAGCUAAUUAAGAGUAUGACUACUGAUAAACUCUAAGAAAAUUAGAAAAGUCUCUCAUUAGUUAUGAAUAAAAAUUAACCGAAAAUUAGAAAGGACGUAAAGAAUCAUUUAAAAUAUGUCACAAUUUUAAAUAGUUAAUUUUAUUUUCAUAUUAAAAUUUCAUUUAAGUAAUUUAAUGUGUUUCUCUCUGAUGAUCUAAAAUUUUAUCGGCGUCACAUCGCAUACGUCUGGUCAUGCAUUGAUGCACAGAAGACCAUAUCAUGAAGUUUUUAAAAAAAUCUUAGAAUCAGUCCAUCAAACCUAAUUAGUCAAUAAUGUUGACUGAGAAUUAAAGAGUAAAAUACCAAUAUCAAAAGCAAAUAGUUGAACAAGAUCAAGACAAUUCUGAAGGAAAAAAAGGUCGACGAAUCAAAAUGUCAAAACACUAAACCGACUCAAGCCAAACGCAUGUUAAUACACAUUGACACCCAAAUAUUUUAAGAAUCAUAAACAUUUUAGUAUAUUUUUUAAAAAAAUAUUUAGAGUAUAAAACCUAAGUAUAUUUACUUCUUUUUUUGAACAAAAUCUUUAAAAUUAUAUAACCAAGAUUAAUAUGCCUGGGGCUGGAACCAAACCUGACAAACAAAAAAACACAGACGCACACGUAAACCCAUGACGAAGGAAUUAAGGACGCAAAAACCCGCAUCUACUACGAAGGCUACGAAUGGGAUGCAGAAUAAAAACAAAAGAAAAAUAGAAUAAAUGAUUAUGCAGUUCUAUAUGCAUUUGAUACCCAUUUAUCAUUUAAUAUGCAGAAUCAAAAAAAAAAUAUUUAAACUAUAUGCAGGACAUAUAGUGUGUAAAAAAAAACUGUACACAAUCAUAUGAUACAAGGGGCUGGUAAAAUAAAAAUCUCCAAUGAGUGAUUUUUUUACCUAUAAAUACUAUACACAAUUUCAUUUUUUCAUUCAUUAACCAAAAAAAUCUUUUAAAUAUUUAGUUUUUUGGUUUUAAUAUUUAUUAACUUUAAGAUUAACUUUUAUAAAGAUAUGGAAAAUGAUAUAUUCUUCAUAUAAAUAGAUAUAUUAAAUUCUAUAAUAUUUUCAUAUUGUCCGCAUAUGCAGGCAUAAUAUUUUACAAAUAUUGUCAGUUUAUGUAUUAUUAAUUCAAAAACCAGCAUAAUAAGUUAUUAUGUAUGUUCUUACAAUGUUUAAAUCAAACCAAAUUAUUUAUAUAUGACAAUUUAUUUUCAUCAAAAUAUAUAUAUGCUUAUUACUAUAUUGAAAUUUCAAAAAAUUACAUAUUAAAAAUAUUUUUAAAGAUAUAUUUAUAAAAAUAAUUUUGCUUGACUAAUAUUUAAUUGUAAAUUUUUGUCAUAUCUUAAUUUUUAAAUUUUAAGAUAGAAAAUAUUUUUUGGAGAAAAUAACACAAUAUAUCUUACUUUUAAAAAAAUAUAUUUUUGAAAUUUAUUAUACUAAUUUAUAAUCAAUUAUCUAAUAUCACUGAUAAAUCUAAUAUUAUUAACAUAAACUUUGUUUUUAAAUAUAUAAUAAAUUAUAUAUAAAAAUUCUUUAAAGGAUAUAUUGAUAUUAACCAUUCCCACUUUUAACGUGGGAGCUCAAAUGCAAAAAAUCAAUUCUUAAAUAAUAGUAUAGAUUUAUAUACUUGACAUAUUAAUAUAUUUAAUAUAACUUCUGUAAAAGGUAUUUAUACACAUUAUUUUAUAUGCUAUAAAAACAUAUAACUGCAAUAAAACUCUUAUAUAAGUUAUAUUUUAUAUUAUUUUAAAAAUUUUAUUUUCUUUUUAUAUUAUUUUUAGAUUCUAAAAAUGAUAUAUAAAUUUAUAAAAAUAAUUUUAUAGUGAUACAUAUAUAUAGUUACUUAAAUUAAAUUUACAGUUGAAUAAAGUCCGACCAUUGAUCCAAUUGUAAUAUCGAGUUAAUGUCCGGUUCGGUUUUCCAAAAUUACAUUCGUUUAAAUAUGAUAAUUCGUUAAAUUAGUUUAACGAGUUUAAUCUGAAUUUGUUAUGUUUAAUCUGCAUGAUAUGCAUUGUUCAGUUUGAUAUGUUUAAUCUGCAUGAUAUGCAUUGUUCAGUUUGAUAAUGAAGAUCUGCAUUAUUCACUCGAAGCCUAAAAACUAAAAGAAAAUUACCAAUCAUUUGUCCAAGUAACAAAAAUGUUAGACUUGAUGUCACAUCAGAUUAUACAAGCCCUGCGUAGAAGAAGAGCUAUAUCUUUUUUUAUGCAACACCGAUACUUUCUAAAUCCCAUUGUCAAUAAUGUUAUCUGGCAACCGGAUUUGUCUGGCGCUAGUAGAUAGAUCCCCGAGAAUUUAUUGGUUGGAUCUCGGUCGGCCUAAUAUUCCAGGUCAUUAAAAAAAAUUGUUAACUGAGAGAUGAAAGACAAAAAUGAAAUCCAAAGCAAAACGGUCAAACUCAAGCUCAACAGAACUCUGAGAACAUAAAGUCUACAAAUUUCAAAGUCCAACAGCAAACCGACUCAAGGUCCCACAACAUUAAAUACCACAAAAACACUCAUAAACCCUACACCUCAGUUUUAAUAGAACAAUGCUUAACUCAGAGCCUUGCUAAAGCAAACUCUAUACUAAUCUCUAAAGACAGAAACUUCGAGACUAAAACAUGUUUCUCCCCUCACUCUGUACAGAGUUUGUCCCACGGAAGUAGCUUGUCACUGUCUCUUUCUCUCUUCUUUCUCUAACGCUUUCUUGGGAAGAACAUGAGCUUCAUACAAAGCGAGAAUCUCUUUCUUGCUCUGAUGGCCUUUGUUCAGUAGCAAAUGUCCGCAAUCAUACUUCGUCAGUUCAUGCUUAAGAUUCUGCACUGUUAGCUUCCUGUAAUCUUCCGUUUCCUCCUCUUCUUCGCCUUGCUGGUUUUGAGUGUCCUCAUCGCCUCUAGAAACCGAAACACCAUCCUCAUAACCACCAUUAUCAUCUCCUCUGGUGCUUCGAGAUCGUUUGUUAGUCCUCAAGAUUCUAUCACUUGUUUCUCCAAUGUCCAUAUCGACAACAUCUUCCAUUCUGGACCGUUUCCCACGAGAUGAACUCGCAGCUCUGAUCUUGUUGUCCAAUGCAGUUUCUUUCAACCUAGCUUGAGCUAGUUCUUGCUGAAGAUUAUCAACAGUUGCCUGUGCAGCUUGCAGCUCAAGAGAAAGAGCUUCAGCUCUUCUGUUGGCGGCUAUAUGAGCCGUACGCUCUUCAUCCAACAGCUUCUCCAACGACUUCACGUUAUGCGCCCUCUGUUCGUUGGUUAGUUUUAACAAUGACUCGAUCUCUUUCUCUCUUUCUCCGACUCUUGCUUCUAAGACUGUAACCUUGGACACAGCCUCCAUCUCAGACACACGAAGUCUGUGCAAUUCAUCUUCCAAGUCAGUCUUCUGCCUCUCCAAGUUUUCGAUUUGCCUCUGAGCUCGCUCGAUCUGAGCAAGUCUUUCCAUUGCCAAGCUCUGACUCUCACUUUUCUCCUUUUGGGAAGUGACGGCAUCAGCUCGAGCUUUGUCCGCCAGUUCAGUAGCACGUUUAGCUUCUAUUUCAGCUGUUUUGCAUCUCUCUUGUACUUCAUCGAAUCUCUCAAAGUCAGAUCGGUACUUUUGCUCCAGACGGAUUUUCUCCUGUUCCAACUUGUUUGCCUCUUUUUCAUAUGUUAAAGCCUUUGUGUUGGCACUGUCUAACCUAUCAAUCAUUUCCCUUAACUCCAAUUUCAGUGAUGCUGUUUCCACGUCAAAGCUUCUGAUUUUAGACUCUGCUGCCUGCAAAAGACACCACAAUAGCUUUAGAUCCAGAUGCUCAACUGACCAACUUAUCAGAAUGUAUCACAUAGAAGGAUAGGAUUAGCAAGGCAAAGCUAAAAUAGAAAGCUCACCUUUAACUCUGAUCUUAGAACCGUAAGAGACUGCUCUGCCUUCUCAAUUUUUGUAGUCUUCUCCUUAAUUUCUUCAUCCUGAAAUCAGUUAACACCUCAUAUUGAUGAAAUACAGAUGAAUAAAAAUCUUAAAGUCAUCUCUUUAACAAAUUGGGACAAAGAGAGGUACCUUUUCAGUUAAAGUCAAUGUAAAUUCCUCCCUAAGAGCAUCUUCUCUCAAUUGCGUUUCCUUGCCUGAACGUUCUUGCACCGAAGCAGCCUUUUGAAGAGCCGAUCUUGCCUCUCCCACAGCAUAAUCAUACUUUCUUUUCCAUUCCUCGGUCUCUUCCUGAGCGGAUUUGGCUUGUUCUCUAGCUGCAGAGAGCCUAGCUUCAGAAGUAGUACUUCGUGUCCUAAGAACUUCCAUAUCAGAUUUAAGCUGAUCUUCAACAGCUUUCUGUUUCAAAACAAACUGGUCGUACUUUCUUUUCCAUUCCUUGAUUUCUUCUUGUUUAGAUUCCAAUGUUUUGACCAAAGUGGAGCAUCGCUCAUUCAGCGAACUGUUCUCCCCCUGUAGUUUAGUUAUGCGUUCUCUGUAUAUAUCUUCCAGCUUCUUCUUGUCGAUGUUGGAUUCAUCAUAACGUUUCUGGUAUUCCAGCUUGUAUCUCUCGCUAUCAUCCAACUGCUGCUUCAGAUGCUUCAUCGCAUCUUCAACAGAACGGAAUUUCACUGCCAGUGAGUUCUUCUCUAUAGCGAUGUUAUCUAUAAGCCUUUUGGUGAGAUCAUAUAUCGGUCCCUCCAAGCUGCAUGAUUAAAAUUCGAGAAUUAAAUGGGUAAAAUAUAUGAACAAACCUUUAAAGAAACAUACACCGAUACACGUAAAUCAAAAUGAGUGAGGGGGACUAGUAGUAACUACCUUUGUUGCAAGAAAACAGAAAGUUUCUGCCAUUUCCCUGGGCCAUGGCAUGAUGCUUCGUAGUCUGACAAACGAGCUUCUAGAACCUGAUACACAAUCGAUCCAUACAUAAGACAAUCAACAACCAACUAAAACCACGGGAACUUCCAUCCUUGGUACAUCUAGUCGAAAAAUAUAUAUCCAUAAGUAACCAACCUUGACAACAUUAUCCAUAUUCGCAUUAGAGGCAUGGCAAGCUGCUCUCAGCUGCUUCUCCAUACUUUGGAUAGCACUCGUGCAUCGCAAAUCUGCCUCCAUGAAUGCAUUUCUUUUGUAAUCCUGAAUCAAGAAAAGAUAGUCUACAUCAGCAUAACGAAGUGAGAAGAGAAAAUUCAUGUGGAGGUUGAGGAAACGAGAAAUGUAACUAAAACAGUCGGAUUUUAAAAACAAGUACUUUAUUACUGCAUAGCACUGGUUUAGAGUCCAUUACCGCAAAUUUUUUCUUCAAGUCCUUGUGAAGAAGAUCCUCGUAUCUUUUUCUUGCUAUACCAGCCCCUACAGCAUUGGCGUUAAACAUAGCCAAGGCUUUUCGAACUGCUUCUUCAUGUUCUUCCCUCAGUGCACCCUAUAUAGCAGAAUUGGAAUGAAUCAUAACAUAAAUUACAAAUAACGGGAGGCUAAAGACAGGUGCUUACUUCUUCAGGAGCUUUUGAAUGGUCAAAGGCAGCCAAAUAAGCUUCUAUACCAGAAUCAUAUGCUCUUCGACACUCAGUUUCUUCGACAUUCUACAAGAACAUAAUCAAGAAAAAUCAAUUUAUGAAGUAUUUGAGGGAAAAUAAGUAAAAGGAUGCAUUAGUAAAAACAUCCCAACUAAUCCCCGCGAUGGUUUCCAAGUACACAAAUGUCUGAACGCAUUAAUCAACCAUAUGUUUACAUUAUGUAAAGUGAACCCCGCCCUAUCUAGUCAAAUCCUUCAAGUCUCAGGUUUUAAUCCUUCAAGAAAAGGAAUGGCUUUUGACUUUAAAUGUAUCAAACAUCCACGAAGGCAAGAGAUCUCAAACCUGCCAAGCUGAGGUUAUCGUUGGCACAGCACCAUUGUUCAACGCAUCCAGAUAAGACUGUGUAAUAGCAGCAAGUACAGGACCCGUCAUCACAGUACCCCCUAACUGCUUGGGCCUCGUCUUCUCAAAAACAAACUUGGUAAAUGCAUCCAGGCCAGCGGCAAACUCACCUCUCAAAUCUUUCAACUGCAUAGACACAAUGGAAUUUAUGUAACCAAGUAUUAUACAAACCUGUAAGCGUAGUAUAAUAAGUGAAGGAGCGUGCAAAGAAUGAUACUAACCGGAAUUUGGUCAAGUCUCUGGAGGUCCUUUUCAUUGGUCAAAGGCCUUACUAGGGUGAAACAUUCUCUGUCCGGAAAAAGUGCACGGAUCGAAUCUCGGAUCUGCAAAACCAUUGCUCACAUUAGCAUUGACUCCCAAUUGUGCUAACAAAAAAACAUUACACUUGAUCGCCACACCCAGAUUUCUCAUAGACUGGACGACUAUCUAAAUGAACAUACCAAAAAAUCAAAGCACAUGCAACCAUUACCUCAUUUUUAGAACCAAUAUCUCCUCCACCACCUUGAACCGGCCUUAACGCAAUUUCUAAAUAGUCACGCGGAGAAAUCUUGCGGUUAUCUUCUUCUAGGUCCAAAUAAAAGUCCUGCAAGUAGGCAUAUCCAAGGUUAAUAUAUAAGACAUGGUAUCGAAAACAAAUAUACAUUAAAAAAUAGCAGAGGCGAUUACCCUAAGGAGCCAGACAAAGAUGGGAGAAAACUGUCCAAGUUCAGAACGUGAGCUCGUUCCUUCAGACGCUUUUACACGGAUAUGCUUUGUCAUUUGAGUGACAAGAGAAAGACGAUCGAGUGAAGCUUCGUCGAUACCACCCAUCUGAAACACACAAAAGAACAACACCUAAUAAGCACAAUCUAAGGAAGAGAUACGCACAAAACGAGAAGUGGAAACUAAACAAACCUGAUUGUAUACGAACAUGCUUGACAGAAGAACAGCUAAUGAGAAUAUCUGAGUGCUGUAUGUACCCUGUUGCAUCGGAAAGAAAGUGAAUGAGACCAUGUUAAGAAAAGUGAAGUAAUUUAAACGAUAAAUCAAAAGUUUUUACUCACCGUUUGGUCGUAAGCAUCAAUGCCUUCACUAUCUAAGAGCAAAAGGUUAUACUCAGAUCCAUCAAGAGCAGUUCGUUUGAUAGGAGAACUCCACAACCAAAGCCCCUUUGUACAAGGCUUGUGCGUUGACGCUACUUGAAACCCAUUACUUCGCCCAAGAAGCUACAACAAAACCAAUUGAAUCAAACAAACACUACUCACUCUAAGAUCAAAAGGAGGAAAAAAUAAACAGAUUACCUGAUUGAGAAUAAAGCUCUUGCCUUGACGAGCUCUACCACAAACCGAGACAACGCCGAUGGGCUCCUUGACGAGUAGCAGAGUAGCAACUGCUUCAGGGUCCAUCCGGAACUUUCCUUUCUCAUCGCAGUACACUAGCCGAAUCGGUCUCGGUGGUCCCGUCACAGCAGACGACGAAGCCGGAGACGUCGAAGGGUAUGAUCUCGGCGACGGGGAAGCGGAACUAGACGGCGGAUCUUUGGCUCCUCGACUGAAAAAGCUCCUCAUCUCCGCAAGCUUCGAAGUUCGUGAAGAUUCGUCACUUCAAAAUUUCGCUCGAUGUUUGGAGAUUUUUUUUUCCUGGAUUUUAGAGUGGUUUUGAAAAAGAGGGGAAAGUAGCGUCAAGAUGACGAAGUAGAGACCUAAGAUCCGUUCGAGACAGAUGGAUAGCUAUGUGGGCCUUACUGGGCCAAAAUGUGUAUUUUUCGAGCCCAAUGCAAAAUAAGUCUUAACCUUACUCUUGCACAUUCUUAUAGAGCGACAACUAAGAAAAAAGGUGAAGAGAAGCAACGUUUAACGAAUUUAGUAGGUUAACCCUUUCGGCAUGUUUAUCGGAGAGUUCUUAGGAUGAGUUCUUAGCGUAAUAUAAGAACCGUUUUUUAACUUUAACUAAGAAAAAUUAAGAAUUGUCUCUUAAAACUCUUAUUUAAGAGCCUAUUUUUAGUUUUUCUUAGUUAAAGUUAAGAAACGGUUCUUUUAUUACGUUAAGAAAACCCUGCAAUAAACAUGGCCUGAGCUGGUCCGGUCCUGGGCAUAGUGAAGUGAGCUGGUCUCUACCUUUUUGGUAAAUGAAGAGUUUUAUAUAGGAAAACACAACAAUAAUUGGAAUGAAAAUUAUUAUAGAGAUAAAAAUAACAAUGGAUUGAAGCUUAAAACCAACUAGUACGCGUACAAUCAAGAUGGUGCAUUUUCAUAAUGCUUUAACUAAAUCUAAAACCCCGCUCACGAAAGAUUAUUAUUUCUUGCUCUUGACGGUUCUAAACUUGACUAACCUCAUCUUCUUCUUUAUCUUGGUUAGGUUUUACGUGUACAGAGCUGAGAUUACUGUUUCAGUAAAUGUAAAACAAAAGGCAACGAAGGUGAUAGAUAACAACGAGUGUCAGUAGAUAUUACAGCAUAAGGGCAAUGUCUAAAAAGGACUUGCAUGGUUUUCAAUAAAGAUCAAUCGUCUCGGUAGUUAAACUUCCUUUUAACAGACACACGUUCAUCUUCAUCCUCUUCCUCCACUUCUUCUUCUUCUUGUUCAUAUACUUCCUCUUCCUCUACUUCCUCUUCUUGCUCAACAUCAUCUUCCACAGUAUUGACCCUCUCGCACUCAUCAAUCCAUUCGCUGUAGCUGCAUUAGUUUCACAGAGGCUUAGAAAAAAACAGAGUGAAAGAAGAAGAAGAAGAAGAAGAUAGUGUACUUACAUGUCUAUAGCUUCACUCAAAGCUGCAAGAAAACAAAAGAUUGAUCAAAUAUGGAAAGCAAAAAACUGAUUAUAUAUAGCAAUGUCACGAUUAGAGAGCAGCAUGAAAAGGAACCUGUGAUAGUAGUGCUAAAGCUUUCUUCACAGAUUCUACAAGUGGCAAUACCAAUCAUCUCCUUCAUAUUACUGUUAAGAAAAACAAAAUCUUCAACAAAUCUGUCGUAGCUCAUUAAAGCUAUAAGAAAGAAGGUUACAUUUGGCAUUCGACACUAGAGCCGUGAUUGCAAAAAGGACAGCUAAAGACAGUGUCAAGCUUGUCCAUUCGCUUCGUUGUAGCAGGCUUUGCCCUUGACUUCCUCUUCCCCAUUGCUUAACCACCCCUUAGGCCACAAUCCAAAACAAAUAUAAAAAUCAAUACUUUAAUCUCUAGUUUGAGGAAAAUACCCACAAGGAUCCAACUUUAGAAAAUAAAAUCGAAAACCCAUAACUUGCGAAUCUAUAAAAAUUCAAAAGAAUCAGAGCCAAGGCUCAAGAAAAUACCCUAAUUAAGAUCAAAUAUUCACAAGCCCAAGUUUGAUAAUUUGGUAAAGACAAAGGUUGCUGUUCCGAAGCAAACAAUGAAUUGAGAAACUGACAAACCUGUUAUUAUUGCACAAGAUCGAUUCCUCGAAGAAGAGCGAGAUACGAAACCCUAGAAAGAUGUCAAUUGGGGGAGAAAGGGAAAAGGAGUUAGAUGCAAUUUUGAUAUUUUUUUCUAGACAGCAACGACGCCGUUUUUAUCAUAACUCAUAAACGACAUCGUUUAGCAGUUAACACCAAAAGGAGCUGAUGACCGUUCGAUCUACAUAGGUUCACACGGAUUCUUAACUACACCGCGAUACAGAGGAACAAAUCGCAGUUACACACUGAAAACGAACACAGAAUCCCCCAAAAGAAGCCACCUUUAGGGUUUUCGUCUCCAAAUCGCUUUCGAAUCGAUUCGUCACGAAUCCAAUCCCCUGGGUUUCUCUCCUCCAGUUUUCGAUUUCAAUCUCUUUGUCGUGAGAAGCGAUGGGAAGAGGCAAGUUCAAGGGGAAACCUACUGGCCAGCGACGAUUCUCAAGUGCAGCUGAUAUUCGUAAGAUAUUUAUCGAAUUUGCAGUUUCUGAUUGUUAUAUAUAUAUUUUGCAAUUAAAGAAGUGAGAUAUUUGUAUCGGGUCUUGUUCUAAUCGGUCUUGUCUUGAUUCAGCUUUUUUGAAGUUUUAAUAGCUUAUAAGAUCUGGUCUUUACCGUUGCUUUAGCUUUUAAAUUGGAUGUGUUGAAUUGACUUGUACUGUCUUGUUACUUGUUUGUUUGAGAGAAUCAUGUGUAAAGUCUCUUUCUUGGAUGAUCUUUUGGUCUUGGGUUUCUCUUCAGAUGUGUUCAGUUUAGUGUGAUGUUUUUGUCUUCUGUUCUGUUGUUGCUUUAGCUGCGUGUUUGAGAGAAUCGUGUGUAAAGACUCUGUAUUGGUUUGGAUUGUCUUUUAACAGAUGUGUUCAAUUUAGUGUGAUGUUUUUGUGUGCUGUGUAGUUGCUGGAACUUCUGCUGCGCGUCCUCGGUCAUUCAAGCAGGUACUUUGGUUGUUUUCUCUCUUACAUGUUUGUUGACUUGUGUGUGGUUAAUGAAUUGGCCUUUUUUUGAUGAAAUUAUCAGAAAGAAGCUGAGUACGAGGAAGAUGUUGAAGAGGAGUCUGAAGAGGAAUCUGAAGAGGAAUCCGAAGAUGAAUCUGAUGUGAGUGUAAAACCCACCCUUAGAAUCUUAUCUGACCUCCUUCAUCUAUUUUAAUUAUUUGAGACGAUUGGUAUAAUACUAUCAGGUGAAGAAGAAAGGACAUGAAUCUCUUAUCGAAGUUGACAAUCCUAACAGAGCCAAACCAAAGACUUUGAAAGCUAGAGACCUUGAUGUAAGCUUUCUGUGUUGGUCAGUUUCUGUGAAUCUACUUAAAUAUGUUUGUCUUAAUAACUUUGUUUUUUUUUUCUCUCUCUCUGUUUCUUAUUAUUAGGCUAGUAAAACCACUGAACUCUCAAGGCGUGAAAGGUUUGUUUCUGAUUUUCCUCUCAUUCAACAUUUCUUAUUCAAGGAGCUUCUUACAGUUCCACCUUAUAUGGUGUUUUGCAGGGAGGAGCUAGAGAAGCAGCGAGCUCAUGAGCGUUACAUGAGGUUGCAGGAGCAAGGCAAAACCGAACAAGCAAGAAAGGAUUUGGGUAAACUACUAUGAAUCUCAUCUUGUUCUCUCUCACUUGUUUCUUUCUAUAUUACCAAAUGGGUUUGUCUGUGUGUGUAUAGAUCGUCUGGCUCUGAUUCGCCAACAGAGAGAAGAAGCGGCCAAGAAGCGAGAAGAGGAAAAAGCAGGUAAUAAACCUCUUUAACAACCACCUUCUCUUACAAUGCUUUUUUAGUUUCGCUUCUGAUUUUUCAAUGUCUCUGUUUAUUGUAGCGAAAGACGCCAAGAAAGUAGAUGCUCGCAAAUGAGACAAGUGUUCACCCUUUAAAAAACAACCUACCUAAAAAAAAGAAGAAUACUCAUCGAAUUUUACUUUGUUCUUUUUUCGAUUGGUAACAGAUCAUAAAACAUUUGCCUAAUACUUUGUACCGUGGGGAUUACUCCAUCUUAAUACAUUUGAAGUUAAUAAUCUCUUUGUCUUGCUUUGUUUUUCAAGUCUUUUUAGUUUGGUUUGCAAGAAAUCCUAAACUUAAGCCAAAACUUGCUCUAGUUUGAUAAUAAGGGUUUGCAGUUAGUCUGCGCCUUCGACUUCGUGUAGUUGGAUCGUGCUUUGUUUGACGUCUGUCCGUUCAAGAUGGGUUAACCGUACCACUGAAGAUGAAUUGGUAGAAAAUUCGAUAUUUAUUUGGUUCCCAUUCCGGUUAGAAGAAUUAAUUAUGUAACUGAGAAUUUUAAAGAGGAAAACUGUAGCAUUGGUAACUCGCAGGACCAGUUUACAAUUAUUUAAAACAAGAUUUGUAUUUAAAUCCAACUUAAAAAAAAAAAAGUAAAACAACCAGUGCCACUCCAAGUAGAAUAUUGGAGAAAGACAAAUUUUAAAGAGGAAAAAUAAAAAGAUUCCGAUAAUCCUUCAAACAGAUUUAGUGAUACAACACUUCCAUGGUUACCAACUUGCCAAAUCGAUACCUUAUAGAUCGAUAAUGGCAUGAGAAAAGAACAGAUCCAAACAUAGACUAUCACCGUAGUUAACCACCACUUGAGCUUUGUUCAAAACAGUUUACCCGCCCUCAAAGCAGAUAGCUUAUUAGAAGCUCGAUGGUUCGUGCAACUCCAUCACCCUCUCAACAAAUCCCACACCAUACCAACACCGACAGUCGAAAACCUCACUAUAACCAGUGAAAACCCCAAAAAGAGCGGCAAAUCCCGACUUGAAUCUUCAACGGACAUCUUUGAGAAAGAAUCACCAGAUCAUGUCCUCUUAAGUCCAGAUCUGCGUAAACGUGUUGCUUCCAACCACCUUACAACGCACAUAGUAACCACCAGAGAAGAAACGGUGACCCGCCAUAAGAUCAGUAAAUAUAACAUCACAAAACCAAAGUUUGAAGAACUGGAGCAAGGAAAAUGUAAAGAGAAACAACGUUUGGUGUUAUACUCUCAGCAUUUGAACUGUUAUAUCGUUCUGUAUAAACUUUAAUUCUAAAUAUAAUACAAUUGUCCAAAAAAAAUAAGUUUGAUAUAUUGAUAAGUAAAAACAACAUAAUAUAUUAUUUUUAAUUUGCAAGCUGAUCAAUUAUAUGUGUGGCAUGCAGUGACUGAUCCAACUUUAUAUUUUAAAAGGGUUCACAAUUUGAUUUUAGCCCAACCUCUAAAAUAUAUUAGAGAAAAGAGUAAAAAAGAAUGGUAUCAAACAGACUAGAGAAAAGGUGGAUCACUAUGGGGAAAAAGAAACCAACAGAGCUGCUGAAUAAAAACUGAUGAAUGGAAAAACACUGACAUAUAUAUAUAAUUAACCUGUGUCAUGUGAUCCAUUAUUUCUCAGCGUGAAACAGCCUCUGGUGGCAUGAAAUUGUUUAUGACGAAUAAAUCCCUUUUGUCAUUACAAAAAAACAAAAAAAAAAACGAAAUACUUGUAUUAUUUAAAUUCGGAAAUAUUAGAGGAAAAAGCAUGUUCUUGAUCUCUUGGUCUUUAAGGGCUUUAUCUUCUUCUUUGCCUUUGGUGGCCUCAAAGCUACCCGGAUCGCUGUAUCAAACACUGACUUCACAUUCUGACAAAGGAAAAACCAGAAUUCAGCUUGAUUAUAUUUUAUUUCAACCUAAUGUUUAAUAUAAAUGUACUCAUAUGAAAUCAUAUACCUGUUGGGUUUUGGAGCUGCAUUCUAAGUACCUGACGGCUCCAAUCAUCUUUCUUAGUUCUUCUCCCUGUUACUCAAAUUCAUCAUACUAUUACAGCCACAGUUAUGACUUUUUGUAACAUAUAGACAUAUAUAUAUUUGUAUUUGUAAAAAUAAAUAUGAUAUCUAUACUAUAUUAAAAGGGAUAUAUAAUCAACAGGGAGAGUGUCCACGUCAUUAAUAAAAUCAGCCAAUUACGAAGCUUUAAAUCGCCAUGUCAUAUUCGCAUGUCUCGCCUAAUCCCUAAUUUCGUCUGAAGCGAUCAUCGAUCUCAUCUUGCUGCUGCUGAAUCCGUACGAGACGAUCCGUUUGAUCUGUUCUCUGGAGCCAGUGUACCAACCGUAUUUGAAGUUCGGAUCUCCGCCGUCCUUCCUCGCCAUGGCCUCCGUGAAGAUGCGAAAGGCUAGAGACUUGGCUCUCGUGGUGAUCGCAUUCGGAGAUUUCUUACGAUCGUGGUGGAGUUAGUGAUAGUGGCGCUUAAACCGGAGAGGAAACACGUGGUGAUGACAUCGUGCUCUUAGUUCCCUUCGCGGAGAAGAAUCGUUGAGUCGGUCGAGGAGGAGGAUGCAUCAUUGUAGAGGGGAUCGAGAAUUUCGCCGUUAUCGAGUUCGAUCUCAACCUGCACCGCCAUCACCAGGUGGAAAGAAAGUGCGAGAAAAUGAGAGAGAGAGAAGUUUUUCUUGAGAAAAUGUGGAAGAAAGCAGAGUCGUCCCCUCUCUCUCUCUCCAACGUUAUAAACGGUUUGCUCUGUAUUAUUCAUCUUCACCUGAAUGAAACUCAAGAUCAAGGGAGGAUGAUCCCCUUUCAAGUAUAGUAUUUGCCGGAGCUUUGCCGUGGAGUCCGUUGUGGCCGUGUUAUUGACGUUUUAGAUUUGAAUCAGCCUACACGGACCUAACAGCAACAGGGAUUCCAGCGGACUAACAGAAGCAGCCGUGGAGAGGCAAGGCAGGGACGAGAUUAGCGGCCAGAAAUUUGAAAGGAAAUCUUCAGAAGAAUCAGAUAGUAAGAUAGUUGGUGAAGAAGAGAAGGAAGAUAUGUCGCUUAGUAAUGAUAGUGGUGGCUCUAACAAGGCGGCUACACAUGACAAAGACAGAGAUACUUCUCCUUCCCAAGAAGGGAUAAAGCUUUCUCUAUGAUUUUUCUGUUUGAAAUGAUCAUUUAUGCAUAGCCUUGGUUUAGUAUUUUUGGUUUAUAAAGGUCAUGACUACAAUUCAACAGGGUAUUGGAACGAGCUACUAUGGGCAGCUUCGUGUUCUCUCUGGAGGUCAAGCACCUGGUGGGCACACUAAGCACUGGUUUAGAGUCCAUUACCGCAAAUUUUUUCUUCAAGUCCUUGUGAAGAAGAUCCUCGUAUCUUUUUCUUGCUAUACCAGCCCCUACAGCAUUGGCGUUAAACAUAGCCAAGGCUUUUCGAACUGCUUCUUCAUGUUCUUCCCUCAGUGCACCCUAUAUAGCAGAAUUGGAAUGAAUCAUAACAUAAAUUACAAAUAACGGGAGGCUAAAGACAGGUGCUUACUUCUUCAGGAGCUUUUGAAUGGUCAAAGGCAGCCAAAUAAGCUUCUAUACCAGAAUCAUAUGCUCUUCGACACUCAGUUUCUUCGACAUUCUACAAGAACAUAAUCAAGAAAAAUCAAUUUAUGAAGUAUUUGAGGGAAAAUAAGUAAAAGGAUGCAUUAGUAAAAACAUCCCAACUAAUCCCCGCGAUGGUUUCCAAGUACACAAAUGUCUGAACGCAUUAAUCAACCAUAUGUUUACAUUAUGUAAAGUGAACCCCGCCCUAUCUAGUCAAAUCCUUCAAGUCUCAGGUUUUAAUCCUUCAAGAAAAGGAAUGGCUUUUGACUUUAAAUGUAUCAAACAUCCACGAAGGCAAGAGAUCUCAAACCUGCCAAGCUGAGGUUAUCGUUGGCACAGCACCAUUGUUCAACGCAUCCAGAUAAGACUGUGUAAUAGCAGCAAGUACAGGACCCGUCAUCACAGUACCCCCUAACUGCUUGGGCCUCGUCUUCUCAAAAACAAACUUGGUAAAUGCAUCCAGGCCAGCGGCAAACUCACCUCUCAAAUCUUUCAACUGCAUAGACACAAUGGAAUUUAUGUAACCAAGUAUUAUACAAACCUGUAAGCGUAGUAUAAUAAGUGAAGGAGCGUGCAAAGAAUGAUACUAACCGGAAUUUGGUCAAGUCUCUGGAGGUCCUUUUCAUUGGUCAAAGGCCUUACUAGGGUGAAACAUUCUCUGUCCGGAAAAAGUGCACGGAUCGAAUCUCGGAUCUGCAAAACCAUUGCUCACAUUAGCAUUGACUCCCAAUUGUGCUAACAAAAAAACAUUACACUUGAUCGCCACACCCAGAUUUCUCAUAGACUGGACGACUAUCUAAAUGAACAUACCAAAAAAUCAAAGCACAUGCAACCAUUACCUCAUUUUUAGAACCAAUAUCUCCUCCACCACCUUGAACCGGCCUUAACGCAAUUUCUAAAUAGUCACGCGGAGAAAUCUUGCGGUUAUCUUCUUCUAGGUCCAAAUAAAAGUCCUGCAAGUAGGCAUAUCCAAGGUUAAUAUAUAAGACAUGGUAUCGAAAACAAAUAUACAUUAAAAAAUAGCAGAGGCGAUUACCCUAAGGAGCCAGACAAAGAUGGGAGAAAACUGUCCAAGUUCAGAACGUGAGCUCGUUCCUUCAGACGCUUUUACACGGAUAUGCUUUGUCAUUUGAGUGACAAGAGAAAGACGAUCGAGUGAAGCUUCGUCGAUACCACCCAUCUGAAACACACAAAAGAACAACACCUAAUAAGCACAAUCUAAGGAAGAGAUACGCACAAAACGAGAAGUGGAAACUAAACAAACCUGAUUGUAUACGAACAUGCUUGACAGAAGAACAGCUAAUGAGAAUAUCUGAGUGCUGUAUGUACCCUGUUGCAUCGGAAAGAAAGUGAAUGAGACCAUGUUAAGAAAAGUGAAGUAAUUUAAACGAUAAAUCAAAAGUUUUUACUCACCGUUUGGUCGUAAGCAUCAAUGCCUUCACUAUCUAAGAGCAAAAGGUUAUACUCAGAUCCAUCAAGAGCAGUUCGUUUGAUAGGAGAACUCCACAACCAAAGCCCCUUUGUACAAGGCUUGUGCGUUGACGCUACUUGAAACCCAUUACUUCGCCCAAGAAGCUACAACAAAACCAAUUGAAUCAAACAAACACUACUCACUCUAAGAUCAAAAGGAGGAAAAAAUAAACAGAUUACCUGAUUGAGAAUAAAGCUCUUGCCUUGACGAGCUCUACCACAAACCGAGACAACGCCGAUGGGCUCCUUGACGAGUAGCAGAGUAGCAACUGCUUCAGGGUCCAUCCGGAACUUUCCUUUCUCAUCGCAGUACACUAGCCGAAUCGGUCUCGGUGGUCCCGUCACAGCAGACGACGAAGCCGGAGACGUCGAAGGGUAUGAUCUCGGCGACGGGGAAGCGGAACUAGACGGCGGAUCUUUGGCUCCUCGACUGAAAAAGCUCCUCAUCUCCGCAAGCUUCGAAGUUCGUGAAGAUUCGUCACUUCAAAAUUUCGCUCGAUGUUUGGAGAUUUUUUUUUCCUGGAUUUUAGAGUGGUUUUGAAAAAGAGGGGAAAGUAGCGUCAAGAUGACGAAGUAGAGACCUAAGAUCCGUUCGAGACAGAUGGAUAGCUAUGUGGGCCUUACUGGGCCAAAAUGUGUAUUUUUCGAGCCCAAUGCAAAAUAAGUCUUAACCUUACUCUUGCACAUUCUUAUAGAGCGACAACUAAGAAAAAAGGUGAAGAGAAGCAACGUUUAACGAAUUUAGUAGGUUAACCCUUUCGGCAUGUUUAUCGGAGAGUUCUUAGGAUGAGUUCUUAGCGUAAUAUAAGAACCGUUUUUUAACUUUAACUAAGAAAAAUUAAGAAUUGUCUCUUAAAACUCUUAUUUAAGAGCCUAUUUUUAGUUUUUCUUAGUUAAAGUUAAGAAACGGUUCUUUUAUUACGUUAAGAAAACCCUGCAAUAAACAUGGCCUGAGCUGGUCCGGUCCUGGGCAUAGUGAAGUGAGCUGGUCUCUACCUUUUUGGUAAAUGAAGAGUUUUAUAUAGGAAAACACAACAAUAAUUGGAAUGAAAAUUAUUAUAGAGAUAAAAAUAACAAUGGAUUGAAGCUUAAAACCAACUAGUACGCGUACAAUCAAGAUGGUGCAUUUUCAUAAUGCUUUAACUAAAUCUAAAACCCCGCUCACGAAAGAUUAUUAUUUCUUGCUCUUGACGGUUCUAAACUUGACUAACCUCAUCUUCUUCUUUAUCUUGGUUAGGUUUUACGUGUACAGAGCUGAGAUUACUGUUUCAGUAAAUGUAAAACAAAAGGCAACGAAGGUGAUAGAUAACAACGAGUGUCAGUAGAUAUUACAGCAUAAGGGCAAUGUCUAAAAAGGACUUGCAUGGUUUUCAAUAAAGAUCAAUCGUCUCGGUAGUUAAACUUCCUUUUAACAGACACACGUUCAUCUUCAUCCUCUUCCUCCACUUCUUCUUCUUCUUGUUCAUAUACUUCCUCUUCCUCUACUUCCUCUUCUUGCUCAACAUCAUCUUCCACAGUAUUGACCCUCUCGCACUCAUCAAUCCAUUCGCUGUAGCUGCAUUAGUUUCACAGAGGCUUAGAAAAAAACAGAGUGAAAGAAGAAGAAGAAGAAGAAGAUAGUGUACUUACAUGUCUAUAGCUUCACUCAAAGCUGCAAGAAAACAAAAGAUUGAUCAAAUAUGGAAAGCAAAAAACUGAUUAUAUAUAGCAAUGUCACGAUUAGAGAGCAGCAUGAAAAGGAACCUGUGAUAGUAGUGCUAAAGCUUUCUUCACAGAUUCUACAAGUGGCAAUACCAAUCAUCUCCUUCAUAUUACUGUUAAGAAAAACAAAAUCUUCAACAAAUCUGUCGUAGCUCAUUAAAGCUAUAAGAAAGAAGGUUACAUUUGGCAUUCGACACUAGAGCCGUGAUUGCAAAAAGGACAGCUAAAGACAGUGUCAAGCUUGUCCAUUCGCUUCGUUGUAGCAGGCUUUGCCCUUGACUUCCUCUUCCCCAUUGCUUAACCACCCCUUAGGCCACAAUCCAAAACAAAUAUAAAAAUCAAUACUUUAAUCUCUAGUUUGAGGAAAAUACCCACAAGGAUCCAACUUUAGAAAAUAAAAUCGAAAACCCAUAACUUGCGAAUCUAUAAAAAUUCAAAAGAAUCAGAGCCAAGGCUCAAGAAAAUACCCUAAUUAAGAUCAAAUAUUCACAAGCCCAAGUUUGAUAAUUUGGUAAAGACAAAGGUUGCUGUUCCGAAGCAAACAAUGAAUUGAGAAACUGACAAACCUGUUAUUAUUGCACAAGAUCGAUUCCUCGAAGAAGAGCGAGAUACGAAACCCUAGAAAGAUGUCAAUUGGGGGAGAAAGGGAAAAGGAGUUAGAUGCAAUUUUGAUAUUUUUUUCUAGACAGCAACGACGCCGUUUUUAUCAUAACUCAUAAACGACAUCGUUUAGCAGUUAACACCAAAAGGAGCUGAUGACCGUUCGAUCUACAUAGGUUCACACGGAUUCUUAACUACACCGCGAUACAGAGGAACAAAUCGCAGUUACACACUGAAAACGAACACAGAAUCCCCCAAAAGAAGCCACCUUUAGGGUUUUCGUCUCCAAAUCGCUUUCGAAUCGAUUCGUCACGAAUCCAAUCCCCUGGGUUUCUCUCCUCCAGUUUUCGAUUUCAAUCUCUUUGUCGUGAGAAGCGAUGGGAAGAGGCAAGUUCAAGGGGAAACCUACUGGCCAGCGACGAUUCUCAAGUGCAGCUGAUAUUCGUAAGAUAUUUAUCGAAUUUGCAGUUUCUGAUUGUUAUAUAUAUAUUUUGCAAUUAAAGAAGUGAGAUAUUUGUAUCGGGUCUUGUUCUAAUCGGUCUUGUCUUGAUUCAGCUUUUUUGAAGUUUUAAUAGCUUAUAAGAUCUGGUCUUUACCGUUGCUUUAGCUUUUAAAUUGGAUGUGUUGAAUUGACUUGUACUGUCUUGUUACUUGUUUGUUUGAGAGAAUCAUGUGUAAAGUCUCUUUCUUGGAUGAUCUUUUGGUCUUGGGUUUCUCUUCAGAUGUGUUCAGUUUAGUGUGAUGUUUUUGUCUUCUGUUCUGUUGUUGCUUUAGCUGCGUGUUUGAGAGAAUCGUGUGUAAAGACUCUGUAUUGGUUUGGAUUGUCUUUUAACAGAUGUGUUCAAUUUAGUGUGAUGUUUUUGUGUGCUGUGUAGUUGCUGGAACUUCUGCUGCGCGUCCUCGGUCAUUCAAGCAGGUACUUUGGUUGUUUUCUCUCUUACAUGUUUGUUGACUUGUGUGUGGUUAAUGAAUUGGCCUUUUUUUGAUGAAAUUAUCAGAAAGAAGCUGAGUACGAGGAAGAUGUUGAAGAGGAGUCUGAAGAGGAAUCUGAAGAGGAAUCCGAAGAUGAAUCUGAUGUGAGUGUAAAACCCACCCUUAGAAUCUUAUCUGACCUCCUUCAUCUAUUUUAAUUAUUUGAGACGAUUGGUAUAAUACUAUCAGGUGAAGAAGAAAGGACAUGAAUCUCUUAUCGAAGUUGACAAUCCUAACAGAGCCAAACCAAAGACUUUGAAAGCUAGAGACCUUGAUGUAAGCUUUCUGUGUUGGUCAGUUUCUGUGAAUCUACUUAAAUAUGUUUGUCUUAAUAACUUUGUUUUUUUUUUCUCUCUCUCUGUUUCUUAUUAUUAGGCUAGUAAAACCACUGAACUCUCAAGGCGUGAAAGGUUUGUUUCUGAUUUUCCUCUCAUUCAACAUUUCUUAUUCAAGGAGCUUCUUACAGUUCCACCUUAUAUGGUGUUUUGCAGGGAGGAGCUAGAGAAGCAGCGAGCUCAUGAGCGUUACAUGAGGUUGCAGGAGCAAGGCAAAACCGAACAAGCAAGAAAGGAUUUGGGUAAACUACUAUGAAUCUCAUCUUGUUCUCUCUCACUUGUUUCUUUCUAUAUUACCAAAUGGGUUUGUCUGUGUGUGUAUAGAUCGUCUGGCUCUGAUUCGCCAACAGAGAGAAGAAGCGGCCAAGAAGCGAGAAGAGGAAAAAGCAGGUAAUAAACCUCUUUAACAACCACCUUCUCUUACAAUGCUUUUUUAGUUUCGCUUCUGAUUUUUCAAUGUCUCUGUUUAUUGUAGCGAAAGACGCCAAGAAAGUAGAUGCUCGCAAAUGAGACAAGUGUUCACCCUUUAAAAAACAACCUACCUAAAAAAAAGAAGAAUACUCAUCGAAUUUUACUUUGUUCUUUUUUCGAUUGGUAACAGAUCAUAAAACAUUUGCCUAAUACUUUGUACCGUGGGGAUUACUCCAUCUUAAUACAUUUGAAGUUAAUAAUCUCUUUGUCUUGCUUUGUUUUUCAAGUCUUUUUAGUUUGGUUUGCAAGAAAUCCUAAACUUAAGCCAAAACUUGCUCUAGUUUGAUAAUAAGGGUUUGCAGUUAGUCUGCGCCUUCGACUUCGUGUAGUUGGAUCGUGCUUUGUUUGACGUCUGUCCGUUCAAGAUGGGUUAACCGUACCACUGAAGAUGAAUUGGUAGAAAAUUCGAUAUUUAUUUGGUUCCCAUUCCGGUUAGAAGAAUUAAUUAUGUAACUGAGAAUUUUAAAGAGGAAAACUGUAGCAUUGGUAACUCGCAGGACCAGUUUACAAUUAUUUAAAACAAGAUUUGUAUUUAAAUCCAACUUAAAAAAAAAAAAGUAAAACAACCAGUGCCACUCCAAGUAGAAUAUUGGAGAAAGACAAAUUUUAAAGAGGAAAAAUAAAAAGAUUCCGAUAAUCCUUCAAACAGAUUUAGUGAUACAACACUUCCAUGGUUACCAACUUGCCAAAUCGAUACCUUAUAGAUCGAUAAUGGCAUGAGAAAAGAACAGAUCCAAACAUAGACUAUCACCGUAGUUAACCACCACUUGAGCUUUGUUCAAAACAGUUUACCCGCCCUCAAAGCAGAUAGCUUAUUAGAAGCUCGAUGGUUCGUGCAACUCCAUCACCCUCUCAACAAAUCCCACACCAUACCAACACCGACAGUCGAAAACCUCACUAUAACCAGUGAAAACCCCAAAAAGAGCGGCAAAUCCCGACUUGAAUCUUCAACGGACAUCUUUGAGAAAGAAUCACCAGAUCAUGUCCUCUUAAGUCCAGAUCUGCGUAAACGUGUUGCUUCCAACCACCUUACAACGCACAUAGUAACCACCAGAGAAGAAACGGUGACCCGCCAUAAGAUCAGUAAAUAUAACAUCACAAAACCAAAGUUUGAAGAACUGGAGCAAGGAAAAUGUAAAGAGAAACAACGUUUGGUGUUAUACUCUCAGCAUUUGAACUGUUAUAUCGUUCUGUAUAAACUUUAAUUCUAAAUAUAAUACAAUUGUCCAAAAAAAAUAAGUUUGAUAUAUUGAUAAGUAAAAACAACAUAAUAUAUUAUUUUUAAUUUGCAAGCUGAUCAAUUAUAUGUGUGGCAUGCAGUGACUGAUCCAACUUUAUAUUUUAAAAGGGUUCACAAUUUGAUUUUAGCCCAACCUCUAAAAUAUAUUAGAGAAAAGAGUAAAAAAGAAUGGUAUCAAACAGACUAGAGAAAAGGUGGAUCACUAUGGGGAAAAAGAAACCAACAGAGCUGCUGAAUAAAAACUGAUGAAUGGAAAAACACUGACAUAUAUAUAUAAUUAACCUGUGUCAUGUGAUCCAUUAUUUCUCAGCGUGAAACAGCCUCUGGUGGCAUGAAAUUGUUUAUGACGAAUAAAUCCCUUUUGUCAUUACAAAAAAACAAAAAAAAAAACGAAAUACUUGUAUUAUUUAAAUUCGGAAAUAUUAGAGGAAAAAGCAUGUUCUUGAUCUCUUGGUCUUUAAGGGCUUUAUCUUCUUCUUUGCCUUUGGUGGCCUCAAAGCUACCCGGAUCGCUGUAUCAAACACUGACUUCACAUUCUGACAAAGGAAAAACCAGAAUUCAGCUUGAUUAUAUUUUAUUUCAACCUAAUGUUUAAUAUAAAUGUACUCAUAUGAAAUCAUAUACCUGUUGGGUUUUGGAGCUGCAUUCUAAGUACCUGACGGCUCCAAUCAUCUUUCUUAGUUCUUCUCCCUGUUACUCAAAUUCAUCAUACUAUUACAGCCACAGUUAUGACUUUUUGUAACAUAUAGACAUAUAUAUAUUUGUAUUUGUAAAAAUAAAUAUGAUAUCUAUACUAUAUUAAAAGGGAUAUAUAAUCAACAGGGAGAGUGUCCACGUCAUUAAUAAAAUCAGCCAAUUACGAAGCUUUAAAUCGCCAUGUCAUAUUCGCAUGUCUCGCCUAAUCCCUAAUUUCGUCUGAAGCGAUCAUCGAUCUCAUCUUGCUGCUGCUGAAUCCGUACGAGACGAUCCGUUUGAUCUGUUCUCUGGAGCCAGUGUACCAACCGUAUUUGAAGUUCGGAUCUCCGCCGUCCUUCCUCGCCAUGGCCUCCGUGAAGAUGCGAAAGGCUAGAGACUUGGCUCUCGUGGUGAUCGCAUUCGGAGAUUUCUUACGAUCGUGGUGGAGUUAGUGAUAGUGGCGCUUAAACCGGAGAGGAAACACGUGGUGAUGACAUCGUGCUCUUAGUUCCCUUCGCGGAGAAGAAUCGUUGAGUCGGUCGAGGAGGAGGAUGCAUCAUUGUAGAGGGGAUCGAGAAUUUCGCCGUUAUCGAGUUCGAUCUCAACCUGCACCGCCAUCACCAGGUGGAAAGAAAGUGCGAGAAAAUGAGAGAGAGAGAAGUUUUUCUUGGGAAAAUGUGGAAGAAAGCAGAGUCGUCCCCUCUCUCUCUCUCCAACGUUAUAAACGGUUUGCUCUGUAUUAUUCAUCUUCACCUGAAUGAAACUCAAGAUCAAGGGAGGAUGAUCCCCUUUCAAGUAUAGUAUUUGCCGGAGCUUUGCCGUGGAGUCCGUUGUGGCCGUGUUAUUGACGUUUUAGAUUUGAAUCAGCCUACACGGACCUAACAGCAACAGGGAUUCCAGCGGACUAACAGAAGCAGCCGUGGAGAGGCAAGGCAGGGACGAGAUUAGCGGCCAGAAAUUUGAAAGGAAAUCUUCAGAAGAAUCAGAUAGUAAGAUAGUUGGUGAAGAAAAGAAGGAAGAUAUGUCGCUUAGUAAUGAUAGUGGUGGCUCUAACAAGGCGGCUACACAUGACAAAGACAGAGAUACUUCUCCUUCCCAUGAAGGGAUAAAGCUUUCUCUAUGAUUUUUCUGUUUGAAGCUGUUUAAAAUGAUCAUUUAUGCAUAGCCUUGGUUUAGUAUUUUUGGUUUAUAAAGGUCAUGACUACAAUUCAACAGGGUAUUGGAACGAGCUACUAUGGGCAGCUUCGUGUUCUCUCUGGAGGUCAAGCACCUGGUGGGCACACUGCUAUAUAUGGACUAUUCGGUAAGUGUUUAAAAUGAGAUACUUCUCCUUCCCAUGAAGGGAUAAAGCUUUCUCUAUGAUUUUUCUGUUUGAAAUGAUCAUUUAUGCAUAGCCUUGGUUUAGUAUUUUUGGUUUAUAAAGGUCAUGACUACAAUUCAACAGGGUAUUGGAACGAGCUACUAUGGGCAGCUUCGUGUUCUCUCUGGAGGUCAAGCACCUGGUGGGCACACUGCUUUAUAUGGACCAUUCGGUAAGUGUUUAAAAUACAUUUUUGUGUGUUUCAAAAUGAUGCUUUACAUCUUAGUCAUAUACUUAAUUAAGAAAGCAGAGUAGCAGGAUCACUCUUAUUUCAAAAUAUGUGCUCUUUUUAGAAGUUUACAUUUGAUGUCAUAAUUUUGUGAAUCAGUGUCUCGAGUAAUCAAAUUUGAUGUCACCCUAACUUCAAACUUUUCUAUUCACAUUCCUCAAAACUUAUUCUCUCAGUGUUUGCAUGCAGGGUGAUCCUGCAAGUUUUCAUGCUGCUGUAGCAAAGACAUGUUUUGAGGUACGGUAAUAUUCUCAAAACACCAGACUUUGACUCCCUUUGCAUAACAAAUUCUUCUGCAGUUUUCUGAUUCUAAGUAUCUCCACUUUGUUAUUCACUCAGCUGAAGAAUCAACUCAUCACUGCUAGCUAUGUUGAUGAUGAAACAUCCAUGUAGAUGGCUAAGAAAUACUUGGAUUAUGAUUCUUGGUGAAGUGACAUCUCACAACUUGGAUAAUUGAGAAUGAGGCUCAUAUCAGCAAGGGGAAAGUGAAGUCUUUCAUGCUCUUCCUGUGGUAGCAUUCCCUUUUCUUCUGCAGCAGAUAAUUUAUUAGCACAGAUUGAAUGACUUCAAUCUGAUGUAUUCAAAUCAUGCAAUAAUGUGAUCAAGAGCUCACAUUCACCUUCCACUUUGUAAUAUUUCUUAUGUAUCUUUUUUUUUGGGAAUCAUAAUAAGCAAUAAUAUUUUACAGUACAUAUGCAUUAGUAUUACACCAAACAACUCUCAAUAGAAAAAAAAAUACAAUUACAACCAAAAGAAAAUUAAAGAAAAACAGUGAGCAUAUAAAGUUAGCUUAAAAAGGGACCCCAUAGAGAAAAUACAUUUAAAAAUAUAUAGUAAAUUAUUAAAUAAACAAAAUAAAAUUGGAACAAAUUUAAAUAGUAAAUAUAUUUAAGACUCAAACAAAUAUGUAUAAUUUUAAAUAGUAGUGACCACUAUUAAAUUUUUAUGUACUUUACCUGAUUUAAUUAUAUUUCCAGUUAAAAUGGAUUAAACUUCACAACUUAUUACUUAUAACUUCAUUAAACUCAUCAGAAAAUGAUUAUUAGUUUGAAACUUUGAUCAAUGAGUACAGUUAUUUCUAAUAGGUGAAGUAAAAACGUACAGGUCAGCCAAUUAUUUAAACAAUUGUAAAAUCUUCCAUAACUUUUGAUUAAUUAACAUCUAAACCAAAUAUUCUAACACAAUUUUAUGAAUAUAUUCCAUAAUUUAAUGGUACAUUUUAAACAAAAAGUAUAUUUUUGUCAAUGGAAUAUAAAAUAACAAUAAUUUCUAAAAUCAUGAACAAAAUUUUAACACAAAUUAUAAAAUAAACUUACUUUUAAUAACAAUUAAACCAAAUAUUUUAAACAAUUACAUCAUAUAUAUUUCAUAAAUAUGUUUAUAACCCUGAGUACAUUUUGAAGCAAAACUAUUUGUCAAUUUUAUAAUCAUAAAUUAAAAUUUCAAGGAAUUUUCUAACGAUAGAAAAAAAAACAAUGGUAAAGUAGAAACUAACUUGAAUCCCUGAGUGGACUGGCCAGUGUUGCGUACUGUUCUUUUUUCAUUAUUUAGAAAAAAGGUCAUGGAUCCUGAAAUCAGAAAGCAUAACUUUAAGACUUUUCAAACAUCAUAUUUAGAAAUUCAAUUUCAUAUUGUUUUUAGAACAAAAGAAAAAAACUUUAGAAUAUAAGCUUACAUAAAUUUAUAGAAUUAAACAUUUAUAACACUGCAUGCAAUGUUCUUAACAUAAAUUCUUUGACAUACAAAUAAAAUAAUAGACAAACAAAAUAAAUUAAUAUAUAAAUAUAGAUUUGUAAUAAAUAAAUAUCAACACAUUUUUUAAUUGUUAUGAUUUGUCAGUUACCAAAAUUGCAAAACCUUUCAAAUUCUAUUUAAAAUAACUAUUUUCAAAAUUUGCUCAAAUAAAAUGAUUUGUGUUCGUAUAUUAUAUUUUUUACCUUUAACAUAUAGUCUUUUUGUUCAAUAUUAGAUAAUGUUUUACAUCGGUGAACAUAUAUUAAAAAAUCGACUAUUUUAGAAAGUAAUAUUAAAAUAUAAUUUAGAUAUAGUUUCACCAAUUAAAAAUGUAAAUAUUAAAAUUUUAAUUAGUUACACCAUUUUUUUUUGUGUGUUUCAAAAUGAUGCUUUACAUCUUAGUCAUAUACUUAAUUAAGAAAGCAGAGUAGCAGGAUCACUCUUAUUUCAAAAUAUGUGCUCUUUUUAGAAGUUUACAUUUGAUGUCAUAAUUUUGUGAAUCAGUGUCUCGAGUAAUCAAAUUUGAUGUCACCCUAACUUCAAACUUUUCUAUUCACAUUCCUCAAAACUUAUUCUCUCAGUGUUUGCAUGCAGGGUGAUCCUGCAAGUUUUCAUGCUGCUGUAGCAAAGACAUGUUUUGCGGUACGGUAAUAUUCUCAAAACACCAGACUUUGACUCCCUUUGCAUAACAAAUUCUUCUGCAGUUUUCUGAUUCUAAGUAUCUCCACUUUGUUAUUCACUCAGCUGAAGAAUCAACUCAUCACUGCUAGCUAUGUUGAUGAUGAAACAUCCAUGUAGAUGGCUAAGAAAUACUUGGAUUAUGAUUCUUGGUGAAGUGACAUCUCACAACUUGGAUAAUUGAGAAUGAGGCUCAUAUCAGCAAGGGGAAAGUGAAGUCUUUCAUGCUCUUCCUGUGGUAGCAUUCCCUUUUCUUCUGCAGCAGAUAAUUUAUUAGCACAGAUUGAAUGACUUCAAUCUGAUGUACUCAAAUCAUGCAAUAAUGUGAUCAAGAGCUCACAUUCACCUUCCACUUUGUAAUAUUUCUUAUGUAUCUUUUUUUUUGGGAAUCAUAAUAAGCAAUAAUAUUUUACAGUACAUAUGCAUUACAAUUACAACCAAAAGAAAAUUAAAGAAAAACAGUGAGCAUAUAAAGUUAGCUUAAAAAGGGACCCCAUAGAGAAAAUACAUUUAAAAAUAUAUAGUAAAUUAUUAAAUAAACAAAAUAAAAUUGGAACAAAUUUAAAUAGUAAAUAUAUUUAAGACUCAAACAAAUAUGUAUAAUUUUAAAUAGUAGUGACCACUAUUAAAUUUUUAUGUACUUUACCUGAUUUAAUUAUAUUUCCAGUUAAAAUGGAUUAAACUUCACAACUUAUUACUUAUAACUUCAUUAAACUCAUCAGAAAAUGAUUAUUAGUUUGAAACUUUGAUCAAUGAGUACAGUUAUUUCUAAUAGGUGAAGUAAAAACGUACAGGUCAGCCAAUUAUUUAAACAAUUGUAAAAUCUUCCAUAACUUUUGAUUAAUUAACAUCUAAACCAAAUAUUCUAACACAAUUUUAUGAAUAUAUUCCAUAAUUUAAUGGUACAUUUUAAACAAAAAGUAUAUUUUUGUCAAUGGAAUAUAAAAUAACAAUAAUUUCUAAAAUCAUGAACAAAAUUUUAACACAAAUUAUAAAAUAAACUUACUUUUAAUAACAAUUAAACCAAAUAUUUUAAACAAUUACAUCAUAUAUAUUUCAUAAAUAUGUUUAUAACCCUGAGUACAUUUUGAAGCAAAACUAUUUGUCAAUUUUAUAAUCAUAAAUUAAAAUUUCAAGGAAUUUUCUAACGAUAGAAAAAAAAACAAUGGUAAAGUAGAAACUAACUUGAAUCCCUGAGUGGACUGGCCAGUGUUGCGUACUGUUCUUUUUUCAUUAUUUAGAAAAAAGGUCAUGGAUCCUGAAAUCAGAAAGCAUAACUUUAAGACUUUUCAAACAUCAUAUUUAGAAAUUCAAUUUCAUAUUGUUUUUAGAACAAAAAUUUAUAAGCUUACAUAAAUUUAUAGAAUUAAACAUUUAUAACACUGCAUGCAAUGUUCUUAACAUAAAUUCUUUGACAUACAAAUAAAAUAAUAGACAAACAAAAUAAAUUAAUAUAUAAAUAUAGAUUUGUAAUAAAUAAAUAUCAACACAUUUUUUAAUUGUUAUGAUUUGUCAGUUACCAAAAUUGCAAAACCUUUCAAAUUCUAUUUAAAAUAACUAUUUUCAAAAUUUGCUCAAAUAAAAUGAUUUGUGUUCGUAUAUUAUAUUUUUUACCUUUAACAUAUAGUCUUUUUGUUCAAUAUUAGAUAAUGUUUUACAUCGGUGAACAUAUAUUAAAAAAUCGACUAUUUUAGAAAGUAAUAUUAAAAUAUAAUUUAGAUAUAGUUUCACCAAUUAAAAAUGUAAAUAUUAAAAUUUUAAUUAGUUACACCAUUUUUUUUUGACAACAGUUACACCAUUUUUAGUAAUGUAAAGUUAUUUAGAUACUUGAAAACAUUGUCUGAUGUUAAAUAACAAAAACACAUAUAAAACAUCAUGAUUAGUAAAUCACCUGAAACGGAGGGAACAGUAAAGAUGUGUUAAAAUAAUUUUUAACUCAAGUGAAAAUGAUUUAUAGACAUUGUCUUAGAAGUCUCCAUUAUGAGUGGCCGAUGAGAUAUAUUCCAAACAUUACGGUAUUCAAGAAAAAAAGAAAAAUGAAGCAGUCGUAAGUACUUACAAAAGUCAACCCAAAACAAUCACACCUUUUUAAUUUAUAAAAUAGUUAAGUUGUAAAUAUUAUUGGUUCGUAACAAAACAUAUAUAAAGGAUGUGAUUGGUUAAUAAAUAGAGUAAAAAGGUGGAAAAGAAAAGUGAAAAUAGGAUGAAACAAAACAGUACCGUUGGCGUUAACUUUUCCAUUUCAUCCAAGGUGAGAUAAAUUUUAUUCUACUUUAUUCUUAUUUUUAUAGUAAACUGGAAGAAUGAGAGUAAACCAGCCGAAGCUGAAAAGAUUUUUUACCUUUUUCACUUUACUCUAAUUAUACCAUACAGUCAGACACAAAGUCUCAUAAUAAUAAGUUUAAAAUUUACAGAAAAUUAUUCAUGCAUAAACAACUAAUUUGGUUAGUUGUACAAAAAAAACCUUCUAAGUGCCUAAUGAUGAUUAAAUCUACCUUCAUCUUUAAUAUUUCACAUUAAUCUAAGAUAGCUAAUAGUACUACUAAUCUUUGUGAACAUUAUUUAUUACAAAACUAUAUUGAGGUUUCUAUUUAUACGUCUAUGAAAAAACUUAAAACUGAAAAAAACAAAGGGAUAGUUAGAAAGAAUGAAUUGUUAGGAAAUAUUUACAUGCAUGAUAAUUUUAAAUAUAUUUUCUAAAUAUAUUUUUUCAUUUUAUUAUACACCUAUUUCAUUUUAAAUCAUUAAGAGUAUAACUAUCUUACACUGUCAAGUAAUUAAAUUUUAUUUAGAAUUAGCAUGAACGAAACACUCUAAUAACAUGAUCUUGCUGGAUUCUCAACCCAAUUUUAAUUCUUAUGUUAAAAACAAACAACAAUUUCACUUUUAAAAAAAACAAACAACAAUUUCAUCUAAAACAGUUUUUUUGCAUUUCCACUAUCAUAUAGCUAUUUAUAUGGGACGAAGAAGUGAAAGUUUUAGAUAAUUAUAAAGCAUACAAAUUUAAAUACAAAAAUAUUAAAUUAUCAUGUAUGAUAUUUUAAAUUAUUGAAAAAUAGAUAUAUUGUUUGCUUUAAUACCAACAACACGAUUAUACUUCAACAGUUCCAAUUACAUUAUAAAGAAAUUGCUUAUAAUACCACAAAUUAGAUAUAACAUUCCAAAAAUGCAUUUAAUCAAAACUAUCCUAACGUUUGAGUUUAAGAUUUAAUGACAAACUAGAUUUUGACCCGCGCUUUCAAAGCGCAGAUUUAUUAUUUUAUUUUCUAUUGACAAAUAUUUAGUAAAUGUCAUAUUUUCAUAUAUUUGUGUUUUAUUUUAUAAAAGACUUAAACUUUUUAUUUUUAUUUAUCGUAUUUCAUUUUAAAUGACUAUUUAUGUUUAAAAAAUUAAACUUAUUUCUUUAAUGAAUUAAGUUGGUAUAACUGUGAUAAAUUAAUUUUAUUAUGUGGUUAAUAUUUUAAUAAAAAAUUAUAUACUUUUACUAAAAAUUUAUACUUUUCAAUGAAAAAAAUCAGUUUUUUAUGAAUGGUUAAAUUAUAUUAAGAAAAGCACUGUCAAGUAAUUAAAUUUUAUUUAGAAUUAGCAUGAACGAAACACUCUAAUAACAUGAUCUUGCUGGAUUCUCAACCCAAUUUUAAUUUUUAUGUUAAAAUAAAACAACAAUUUCACUUAUUAUGUGGUUAAUAUUUUAAUAAAAAAUUAUAUACUUUUACUAAAAAUUUAUACUUUUCAAUGAAAAAAAUCAGUUUUUUAUGAAUGGUUAAAUUAUAUUAAGAAAAGAAAGAAAAAUAAUAAUUAAGAAUAGUUGAAAAAAAUUAUUUGAACUUGGACUCAAUGGCUCAAAAGAAAAAAAAAUGUGAGAAUUAGAUCUGAUUUCUUAAUCGGCCCAAAUAGCCCAAGAGAGAUAUGAUGUGGGUUGGAUCCGAAAAAAAUGACCCAAUAUAGAUGUGUUAUUAAUAUUACUUGAUUGCCAUUAAUGAAACAUGCAAUGUUAGUAAAGAAAAGAAUACCAACAACACGAUUAUACUUCAACAGUUCCAAUUACAUUAUAAAGAAAUUGCUUAUAAUACCACAAAUUAGAUAUAACAUUCCAAAAAUGCAUUUAAUCAAAACUAUCCUAACGUUUGAGUUUAAGAUUUAAUGACAAACUAGAUUUUGACCCGCGCUUUCAAAGCGCAGAUUUAUUAUUUUAUUUUCUAUUGACAAAUAUUUAGUAAAUGUCAUAUUUUCAUAUAUUUGUGUUUUAUUUUAUAAAAGACUUAAACUUUUUAUUUUUAUUUAUCGUAUUUCAUUUUAAAUGACUAUUUAUGUUUAAAAAAUUAAACUUAUUUCUUUAAUGAAUUAAGUUGGUAUAACUGUGAUAAAUUAAUUUUAUUAUGUGGUUAAUAUUUUAAUAAAAAAUUAUAUACUUUUACUAAAAAUUUAUACUUUUCAAUGAAAAAAAUCAGUUUUUUAUGAAUGGUUAAAUUAUAUUAAGAAAAGAAAGAAAAAUAAUAAUUAAGAAUAGUUGAAAAAAAUUAUUUGAACUUGGACUCAAUGGCUCAAAAGAAAAAAAAAUGUGAGAAUUAGAUCUGAUUUCUUAAUCGGCCCAAAUAGCCCAAGAGAGAUAUGAUGUGGGUUGGAUCCGAAAAAAAUGACCCAAUAUAGAUGUGUUAUUAAUAUUACUUGAUUGCCAUUAAUGAAACAUGCAAUGUUAGUAAAGAAAAGAGUAGGCUAAGGUAAAAAGGACAAUAGGAUCCUGCUUUAAUAGUAUAGAUAUUUGGAGUUUAUUAUUUAAAGAAUAGAAUUGGGUAAACGUCCAUACAUAAUUCUUACAUAUUUAAAAAAUGAUUAUGUGGGUUCGUUUAGUUUUUUAUUACAAAUUUAAGGUAUUUACGAAAAAUUAUUCUUUAAAGAGAUUUUAAAAUAGUAUCAAUUCUAUGGUAAAAUUAGAAUUUCUCCUUAACAUUAUUAGAAGAACUAGGAAAAAUAUGCAAAACUAAACUAAUGACGAAACAUAGAGCUCACCAUGUUAAAGAAAUCACAAUUAAAAAAUACCCCAAGCUACUUUAUUAUUAUGUUAGAGAUACUAUAAAUAUUAUGUAAAACUACUUUCAAAUAUAAUAUAAAUUAAAAUGGUGAAAAUUAGUGUAUCUAAUCCGCGCGUAGCGCGGAGAAAAGAUCUAGUUUUUAUAAGGAUACCUGAGCAGUUGUUAUAGAAGCUGCUCCUGGAUGAUCUUUCAAGAACUGCUUGUCAUCCCUCAAGUCUGUAAUUUUUCUUUUCAACAUUACCUCACUAAUAAAAAUAUACUUUAAUGAACAAAUAUCAAAGGCUAAAUAAACCAAGGAAAGUGUAUAAAUAACACUGGGCUAUUGAUUAUUAGCUCAUUAGUAACCGAAAGUGGGCAAUGUUAGUUUACUGCAUUCUUGUAUUUUCCUGUUAUCGGGUUUCAAUAUAUAAAUGAAAAAUAAUAUAUUAAUAUUUAUUGGAACUACUAAGCUAGAAAACUUUAUCUAGCAGAAAAAUAAUCGAAUGAUAAAUAUUUUAACAUAUUGUUUUCACUAGAAUUGAAUAAAAGGAUAUACAAUAUAAAAUGAUUACAUAUCGACGAAAUAUUUCCCUAUGUAAAUGUUGAUGAACUUCUUUAUUACCUAAUUUGGUUCCGACGAGCACAAUGGGGAUGGUAGGCGCAUAAUGUUUCAGCUCCGGCAGCCACUAUUAUUCAAGAAAUUAAUAUAAAUAAAAUAAUCUUGAAGACAAUUAAAAAUAUUUCACCACAGUCAUUUCAAAACAGAUGCAAAUUUUAAAAUGCUACCUUUUUGUAAAUAUUCUCGUAACUGGCUUUGCUAAUUAGGGAAAAUGCCAAUAAAAAUACAUCUGCUCCUCUGUAACUCAAAGGCCGAAGCCUGUUAUAAUCCUCCUGCCCUGAUAAUUACACAUUAAAACUAAUUAUUAAUACUAAUAUAUGUACUAUUUGUCCAUUCAUCAGUUUUAGUAAUAAACUAAAAAGUUUUAUUUUUCUAAAAAAACUAAAAAGUUUUAACUAUUUACCGGCAGUAUCCCAGAGGCCGAGGUUGACCGUACUUCCAUCGACCACCACGUUCGCACUGAAAUUGUCGAAAACUGUCGGAACAUAAUCCUGUAAAUUAUAUACCUUUUAAAUCAUUUUUAUCCCAAACAUAUAUAUAAACAAACAUAUAGAAAAAAAUUAAAAUACAUUUUAUGUAAAAUAAUUAAAAAUACAUUUGUUUAGCUUUAGUUUCGGGUUUACGUCCAGUAGUUUCAAAUGAUUUUUUUUUUGAACUUAUUAAAUGAAAAUAUUCAAGUAUCAUUGUAAAAACAAAAACCUUAGUACGAGAAAUUUCCAUGAAUAUGUAUCACAGUACAUAACCAGGCUUUGUCAAAACUAAACGUAAAAUCUAAAUAACACGAAAACAUUAAAUUACGUAAAAGCCAGUAAAAUUCUUCAAGAGACCAGCAUAAAACUCUUAAAACAUCAGUUUGAAAGUCUUCAUGGAAACAAACUGUUUAAACCUAAACAAUAAAUUAAUUACCGUAGGAAAAGUAUUGCUGGUAUAUGAAAUUAACAUACAAGUCUUCCCCACGGCUCCAUCUCCGACAGUCACACACUUGAUGAAUCUUGCUGUGCUCAUUUUUUAUUUUAUCUUUCUGUUUGUGAUUUUGUGUGUGUGUUUGGUUUCUAUGUUCAGAAGAGAAGAGAAGUGGUCGAGGGUUCUUAAGAAGCUUUUUGUGAUGAUUAUAGUUGUUUAUUGGUGGAGAGGAUGAUUACUACUCUUAUUGUUAAUUUUUAUCAGCUUAUUUGGUACAGGAGGAAAUUUGAAGCAAAACAUACAAAACAAACCGAACAAAUACCGAAUCAAUUAAGGAACUGUAUAGAUAAAUUGGUUUAUAUAUCCUCAAAUCAAAUAAACCAAGUACGCCAAAUAAACUCUUACAUCCGUCAUAAAUUAGAGAGAAACGUUAGAAAAUUUUUAAAAUUAUAUUCUAUAAAAUAGUUGGAUAAAUAUUAUUAUAAAGUUAUUCAAAAAAAAUUUUGGUCUAUCUGAUUUUCUGAAUCAAGUCGACAGAUCAGAAUGGUUUCCACGGAAUUGAACCAGAUCAAGCCGAAAAGUGAUACUCUCUCACCUUUUGCCUCUCUUAUUGUUUAAAUAUAUUAAUUAACUUACAUUAAUGACUUAAAAUGAUGAGGAAUUGAGUAUUUCUUUUACUUCAAGUGCAAGAUCUUGUGGUCGGCCAAAGUGAUGUAGCCGUUUGGUGUUGGUUGUGAGUGGAUAUUUUUAAGUUUUGGAGAAGGAACUCUCAUCUUACUUUCUUGAAGCUUUAUUAUCUUAUAUUAUAAUCAUCUAUAGUUUCUGUUUGUCUUAUUUGAUCACAUAUUAACAACUUUGGAUAUUGAUAGGAUUGACUUAACUAGUACGAUUUGGAUUUUGUUGAAACCGUGUGCUAUUAAUUCUACAUUUUAAUAAGAUCUUGUGUUCUUAUAAGUUUAUAUAUGAAUGAAUAAAGAAAUAAAAUUCAUGUAUAUAUAUUUUUCUUUUUCUUUUUUCAAAAAUAUAUGAAACUUUGUUUUCUGUAAUAUUAUGUGUUUCUGAUUUUGUAUAGGUAGCUUGGUGUUUUAGUAUCCUGUGCAAAUCACGUCAAAUGUAGUUAUCAUUUGAGGGUCUAUUGCGUAAAACACAAGUUUUUGGAUCGAAUGAUACGGACAUCCUCAAAAUACAAAGUAAUUAAGGAUAUAUUCCACUUGCUUGUAGAUGUGUUUAUUGUAAAUAUAAAAAAAACUAAAAUGGACGACAUUUAUUAACACAAAUUAAAAAUGAAUAUUGUUUUAUCAAAUUAUAAUUAAAAUUUUAUUAAUAAAAAUCCUGCAAAGCGCUGGUGAACCGAUAAUCUUGUUUCUAUUAAAUUUGGACGAAAAGAUUAGGAACUUUUAGGGAUGUAAAGUAAGUUGGAAGCCGCUUGGCUGUAUUACAUGCAUAGGAUUGUUCCUCUGUUUGGAGGCAUCUGGUUUCGGGUCGUUCGUACGUUAACUGUAGGGGAUUGUGCUUUUGACUCUCCCUGAGCUCUUUAACACAGCUUUCCUCUGCUGAAUUUUGUUUCUCGAGUUUACUAAAGCUUUUGACCGUAUUGGAACAGGACACUUGUUCCUAUUUCCAUGACUAGUACUCUCGGUUGAUGACUGUUCAUCAUCUGAUGUAGGCAAUGAGUCUGAAAGAAGAGUCAAAUGGUUUGAGACUUGUGGAUGAGAACAUGGGGCAUAGUAACCUGCAGUUUCCAAUCCAAGAAAAAAGAUAUUGAAGCUUAUGAUAAGAGAAUCUGAUUUCAUUAUGAUAGCAAACCCCAUAUCAGUUAUACAAUGAAGUUCUCAACUUUUACUCAAAGUAUCAAAUCUUUUGCAUCACAUAAACUUACCAUUUCACAAAUUACAUGCAACAGAGUCUUAAAUUAUAACCAACACACACAUUUAUUCUAAAGCUUAACCGGAUAUUGAACCGAUUUUUUCACAUAGUUGGGUAAGAAGCAUUCA